AACAAAGAAGUAGGCCAUUGCUGCAAUCCUGAAGCUGUAUUGGGUACUUAUAACAUGGCACAAAGCUAAGUGUUGUGUCAAUUUUCUUGUCACUCGAGGGUAGUCUAGCGAGAUGGAUGGCAGUGCCAAGAGACCAGGGAAGUUUGCCAUGCUCACGUUUCCUGUACAAGAGACCAGUGGGAGUUCUUGGGAGCUUUUGCCGGUAGUAUGGAUGAGAUGAGAAGGCAAGCCAAGACUUGCAGACACAUUUGAAGCGGCACAAGGACUACAGCGGCAGUCGAGACAGGAUGUCCACCACCAGCUCAUCAGGUAGUACACAUGUGGACAUCCCCUGCCGGGGCUUUAUAUCUCGUUUGAGCCAAUCUAGCAUCUGAAUUUAUCUGCAACAAAAGAGGGGAAAAAAGAUGAUAUGAAACUUUUUCUCGAAUAUGGACGAAUGUGCGUACUUUAUAUUAAAGAAGAAGGAGGGGUAAAGAGCCCUCUUACAGCAUUUACUUACAGAGCGUUUGCACGCUUGCUCCACCCGGCUAGGCCGGUGUACCCACAGAUCGCUAACUCCUCACGCAUGCCCACCUAUCUAACUCCCCAAAGAACGCCGUCGUGUCGCACUUGAAGAGUCCUGCCCUUUUCCAUGUUUUUCCCUCCUCCUUGACACGUUGCAAUACUUGCCUUAUGGAUGGCGUUGCCCCAUCGAAGACGAUUGCAUUUCUGUGCUUCCACAACUCCCACAUCACAAGCAUGAAGAUGAUAUGAAACUGAGAAACAAUAAAGUACGUCUGUACAUGCCCCCUGAACUCAAACAAUAGAACUCUAGCAAACUUUCACCCUCCGAAAACCAAUGAAUGCAUAUAUUUUGUUGGUCCCCAUCGAUGCUUGAAUUAGCAAACAAGUGACCCUUGAAACAUAGGAGUACGUGAUUAUGCCUUAUGACAAUGACAUGGUUGUGCACAUAAAAGAACAGAUUUGGUAUAUAUUCCUCCUUUGUCUGAGAUAUUUCCAUUUCUAUGUCGAAAUAGCAUCAGAAAUUAAACAUGGGGCUCCACAUUUGUAGACCUAAAUUGCACGAACCUUAAAAUAAAAUACUCAUGUGCUAUGCAGCUAACAAGUUUCCGUAUUUAUUGUGGUUCUAGAAAUCGUCUUUAUCUUCAAUUAACGCUGAGUGUUUGACAAAAAACUGUCACAAUUGGGGUUCGUGUCCCACCGAACUACCACUUUCAAAAAAGUGACUGAUAACUAUCAAAAAAUUGGAAUCUCGUGACUAAAAACUACCACUUUCGGAAAAUGGCCGGUUUACAAGAUUUAAACGUGUUUAUGACAUGCGGGCCUGUCUGUCAGGGCUGAUGUGGCGGGAAAGUCAACUCCGUUUAUUUUUUACCGUUAAAUUGACCAUUAUGACAGGUGGGGACCACACGUCAGCAUCACCUCCUUCUUCCUCCUCAUCUUUCUCUCUCCCUCUCUCUCUUUGGAAUUUUAGCAAACACCUCAUGUGCACCUCUGCCGCGGUGGAAGACCUGCCGGACCUCCCUCUCUCUGCCGGCGAGCUCCUCAGCCCCGUCGCCCCUUGCCAUCUCUCCUUUCCCUUCCUCCCUGCCUUCACUUCUCACGCGCACGAGCUCCCCUUGCCAUGGUGCCUCGGCCUCUGCUCCGUCCACCUCCUGCCAUGGUCGGCCCCAAGCGCCUCCUCCCUGCCUCGCCUACAGUCCUCCUGCAUCUCCUCCGCGACCCCUGCAUAACGCCAGGGCCGGGCUGCUUGCCUCCCUUGCCAUCCACCACCAUCGCCUCCCUCCUGCCGCUAAUGUGCUGCUGGCCCUUGUUGUCGAGUGCGUCGUCGGUGGCCUCCUCCUUGCCCCGGGCUCCAUCCAGCUCCGCCGCCUCCCAGCGUCCUCUUGCCUGCGCCGCCCCCAUGGCUUUCCCGAGGCCAUCACCGACCACCACCCCCGCGACGCUCGGCCUCUUGACUACCAUCACUAACGCAAGCACGUGAGUAACGGCGUCGGCGACUCGGCGGCGGCCAGGUCGCGCGCCAGGCGGCAACAGCUCGCCCGUGUGCUCCAGUCCAAAGAGCUACCGCUGGUGCGCUGCUCUACUGCUGGUAAGGUGUUUGUUGAAAUGCCAAAGAGAGAGAGAGGAGGAAGAAGGUGAUGCUGACGUGUGGGGUCCACCUGUCUUAACGGUCUGAAAUAACAGAGUUGACUUUCCCGCCACGUCAGCCCUGACAAAAGGCCCCACAUGUCAUUAACGCGUUUAAAUCGUCUGAAUUGACCAUUUUCCGAAAGUGGUAGUUUUUAGUCACGAGAUUCUAAUUUUUUGGUAGUUAUCAGUCACUUUUUUUAAAGUGAUAGUUCUGUGGCACGCAAACCUCAUUUGUGGUAGUUUUUUUUGUCGAACACUCAUUAACGCUCGAUACAGAAUCAACACUCAAGAUCGUUAGGUGCUUCCUGGGCCCAAAAAAACAGCUGAUUAAAGAACCAACUAAUAAGUCUUCAGUUACCCCACCCACGAACCAGACAUUGAAAUGAGGGCCAGAUAGAGCAAUGGUACCCUACAUCCCCAUUCUACAGAAGUGUGAAUGAUUCAAAGUGAGGACCGGAGGAACGAGAGGAGUACCUGGAUCUGCGGUGCAGGAUUGCCGCCGCUGCGCCGCCACGGCUGGCUGGAUCUGGAUGGGAAGGAGUCUUAGCCCCGCAGACGUGGUGACCGGCGAGUGGAGGUGUGGUGGCGGCCGUGGUGAAUAGUGAUGCAGUUUACUACAGUCGGAGGGAGGGGGAGAAAUGGACCUUUGUUGGGCCAGGAGGAGAAGGAGCCCUGGUAUGUCUUGUUUCAUUCUUAUUAUCGUCCCAAUUGCUCAAAAAGAAAAACUUUUCGUCCCAAAUAUCCCAUAAUCCAGUUUCUUUUUUUUUCGGGUUCAAUAGUACUCCAUCCAUCCCAUAAUAUAAGUGUUUUUUUAUACUAGUAUAGUGUCAAAAACACUUUUAUAUUAUGGGACGGAGGAUUGUGUAAAAAACACUCUUAAAUUAUGUUGGGAACGUAGUAAUUUCAAAAAAAUUCCUACGCACACGCAAGAUCAUGGUGAUGCAUAGCAACGAGAGGGGAGAGUGUUGUCCACGUACCCUCGUAGACCGACAGCAGAAGUGUUAUCACAACGCGGUUGAUGUAGUCGUACGUCUUCACGAUCCGACCGAUCAAGUACCGAACGCACGGCACCUCCGAGUUCAACACACGUUCAGCUCGAUGACGUCCCUCGAACUCCGAUCCAGCCGAGUGUUGAGGGUGAGUUUCGUCAGCACGACGGCGUGGUGACGAUGAUGAUGUUCUACCGACGCAGGGCUUCGCCUAAGCUCCGCAACGAUAUUAUCGAGGUGUAAUUUGGUGGAGGGGGGCACCGCACACGACUAAAAGAUCUCAAGGAUCAAUUGUUGUGUCUCUGGGGUGCCCCCCUGCCCCCGUAUAUAAAGGAGCAAGGGGGAGGCAGCCGGCCAAGGGGAGAGGCGCGCCAAAGGGGGGAGUCCUACUCCCACCGGGAGUAGGACUCCUCCUUUCCUUGUGGGAGUAGGAGAAGGGAAGGGGGAAGGAGAAAGAAGGAAGGGGCGCCCCCCCUCCCUAGUCCAAUUCGGACUAGCCCAUGGGGAGGGGUGCGGCCACCCUUUGGGGUCUUUCUCUCCUUUCCCGUAUGGCCCAUUAAGGCCCAAUACGAAUUCCCGUAACUCUCCGGUACUCCGAAAAAUACCCGAAUCACUCGGAACCUUUCCGAAGUCCGAAUAUAGUCGUCCAAUAUAUCGAUCUUUACGUCUCGGCCAUUUCGAGACUCCUCGUCAUGUCCCCGAUCUCAUCCGGGACUCCGAACUCCUUCGGUACAUCAACAUACAUAAACUCAUAAUAAAACUGUCAUCGUAAUGUUAAGCGUGCGGACCCUUCGGGUUCGAGAACUAUGUAGACAUGACCGAGACACCUCUCCGGUCAAUAACCAAUAGCGGAACCUGGAUGCUCAUAUUGGUUCCCACAUAUUCUACGAAGAUCUUUAUCAGUCAAACCGCAUAACAACAUACGUUGUUCCCUUUAUCAUCGGUAUGUUACUUGCCCGAGAUUCGAUCGUCGGUAUCUCAGUACCUAGUUCAAUCUCGUUACCGGCAAGUCUCUUUACUCGUUCCGUAAUACAUCAUCCCGCAACUAUCUCAUUAGUCACAAUGCUUGCAAGGCUUUAUAGUGAUGUGCAUUACCGAGUGGGCCCAGAGAUACCUCUCCGACAAUCGGAGUGACAAAUCCUAAUCUCGAAAUACGCCAACCCAACAAGUACCUUUGGAGACACCUGUAGAGCACCUUUAUAAUCACCCAUUUACAUUGUGACGUUUGGUAGCACACAAAGUGUUCCUUCGGUAAACGGGAGUUGCAUAAUCUCAUAGUCAAAGGAACAUGUAUAAGUCAUGAAGAAAGCAAUAGCAACAUACUAAACGAUCGGGUGCUAAGCUAACGGAAUGGGUCAAGUCAGUCACAUCAUUCUCCUAAUGAGGUGAUCCCGUUAAUCAAAUGACAACUCAUGUCUAUGGCUAGGAAACAUAACCAUCUUUGAUUAACGAGCUAGUCAAGUAGAGGCAUACUAGUGACACUCUGUUUGUCUAUGUAUUCACACAUGUAUUAUGUUUCCGGUUAAUACAAUUCUAGCAUGAAUAAUAAACAUUUAUCAUGAUAUAAGGAAAUAAAUAAUACUUUAUUAUUGCCUCUAGGGCAUAUUUCCUUCAGUCUCCCACUUGCACUAGAGUCAAUAAUUUAGUUCACAUCGACAUGUGAUUUAACAUCAAUAAUUCACAUCACCAUGUGAUUAACACCCAUAGUUCACAUCUCUAUGUGACCAACACUCAAAGGGUUUACUAGAGUUAAUAAUCUAGUUCACAUCGCUAUGUGAUUAACACCCAAAGAGUACUAAGGUGUGAUCAUGUUUUGAUUGUGAGAUAAUUUUAGUCAACGGGUCUGUCACAUUCAGAUCCGUAAGUAUUUUGCAAAUUUCUAUGUCUACAAUGCUCUGCACAGAGCUACUCUAGCUAAUUGCUCCCACUUUCAAUAUGUAUCUACACCGAGACUUAGAGUCAUCUAGAUUAGUGUCAAAACUUGCAUCGACGUAACUCUUUACGACGAACCUUUUUUCACUUCCAUAAUCGAGAAACAUAUCCUUAUUCCACUAAGGAUAAUUUUGACCGCUGUCCAGUGAUCUACUCCUAGAUCACUAUUGUACUCCCUUGCCAAAAUCAGUGUAGGGUAUACAAUAGAUCUGGUACACAGCAUGGCAUACUUUAUAGAACCUAUGGCCAAGGCAUAGGGAAUGACUUUCAUUCUCUUUCUAUCUUCUGCCAUGGUCGGGCUUUGAUUCUUACUCAAUUUCACACCUUGUAACACAGGCAAGAACUCUUCCUUUGACUGUUCUAUUUUGAACUACUUCAAAAUCUUGUUAAGGUAUGUACUCAUUGAAAAACUUAUCAAGCGUCUUCAUCUAUCUCUAUAGAUCUUGAUGCUCAAUAUGUAAGCAGCUUCACCGAGGUCUUUCUUUAAAAAACUCAUUUCAAAACACUCCUUUAUGCUUUACAGAAUAAUUCUACAUUAUUUCCGAUCAACAAUAUGUCAUUCACAUAUACUUAUCAGAAAUGUUGUAGUGCUCCCACUCACUUUCUUGUAAAUACAGGCUUCACCGCAAGUCUGUAUAAAACUAUAUCCUUUGAUCAACUUAUCAAAGCAUAUAUUCCAACUCCGAGAUACUUGCACCAGUCCAUAGAUGGAUCGCUGGAGCUUGCAUAUUUUGUUAGCACCUUUAGGAUUGACAAAACCUUCUGGUUGCAUCAUAUACAACUCUUCUUUAAUAAAUCCAUUAAGGAAUGCAUUUUUGUUUAUCCAUUUGCCAUAUUUCAUAAAAUGCGGCAAUUGCUAACAUGAUUCAGACAGAUUUAAGCAUAGAUACGAGUGAGAAACUCUCAUCGUAGUCAACACCUUGAACUUGUCGAAAACCUUUUGCGACAAUUCUAGCUUUGUAGAUAGUAACACUACUAUCAGCGUCUGUCCUCCUCUUCAAGAUCCAUUUAAUCUCAAUGGCUCGCCGACCAUUGGGCAAGUCAAUCAAAGUCCAUACUUUGUUCUCAUACAUGGAUCUCAUCUCAGAUUUCAUGGCCUCAAGCCAUUUUGCGGAAUCUGGGCUCACCAUCGCUUCUUCAUAGUUUGUAGGUUCGUCAUGGUCUAGUAACAUAACCUCCAGAACAGGAUUACCGUACCACUCUGGUGCGGAUCUUACUCUGGUUUACCUACGAGGUUUGGUAGUAACUUGAUCUGAAGUUACAUGAUCAUCAUCAUUAACUUCCUCACUAAUUGGUGUAGGAGUCACAGGAACAUAUUUCUGUGAUGAACUACUUUCCAAUAAGGGAGCAGGUACAGUUACCUCAUCAAGUUCUACUUUCCUCCCACUCACUUCUUUCGAGAGAAACUCCUUCUCCAGAAAGGAUCCAUUCUUAGCAACGAAUGUCUUGCCUUCGGAUCUGUGAUAGAAGGUGUACCCAACUAUCUCCUUUGGGUAUCCUAUGAAGACACAUUUCUCCGAUUUGGGUUUGAGCUUAUCAGGAUGAAACCUUUUCACAUAAGCAUCGCAACCCCAAACUUUUAAGAAACGACAACUUUGGUUUCUUGCUAAACCACAGUUCAUAAGGCGUCGUCUUAACGGAUUUUGAUGGUGCCCUAUUUAACGUGAAUGCAGCUGUCUCUAAUGCAUAACCCCAAAACGAUAGUGGUAGAUCGGUAAGAGACAUCAUAUAUCGCACCAUACCUAAUAAAGUACGGUUACGAUGUUCGGACACACCAUUACACCGUUGUGUUCCAGGUGGUGUGAAUUUGUGAAACUAUUCCACAUUGUUUUAAUUGAAGGCCAAACUCGUAACUCAAAUAUUUUACUUCUGCGAUCAUAUCGUAGAAACUUUUAUUUUCUUGUUACGAUGAUUCUCCACUUCACUCUGAAAUUCUUUGAACUUUUCAAAUGUUUCAGACUUGUGUUUCAUCAAGUAGAUAUACCCAUAUCUGCUCAAAUCAUCUGUGAAGGUCAGAAAAUAAUGAUACCUGCUGCGAGCCUCAAUAUUCAUCGGACCACAUACAUCUGUAUGUAUGAUUUCCAACAAAUCUGUUGCUCUCUCCAUAGUUCCGGAGAACGGCGUUUCAGUCAUCUUGCCCAUGAGGCACGGUUUGCAAGCAUCAAGUGAUUCAUAAUCAAGUGAUUCCAAAAUCCCAUCAGUAUGGAGUUUCUUCAUGCGCUUUACACCAAUAUGACCUAAACGGCAGUGCCACAAAUAAGUUGCACUAUCAUUAUUAACUUUGCAUCUUUUGGCUUCAAUAUUAUAAAUAUGUGUAUCACUACGAUCGAGAUACAACAAACCAUUUUCGUUGGUGUGUAUGACCAUAGAAGGUUUUUAUUCAUCUAAACAGAACAACAAUUGUUCUCUAACUUAAAUGAAUAACCGCAUUGCAAUAAACAUGAUCAAAUCAUAUUCAUGCUCAACGCAAGCACCAAAUAACACUUAUUUAGUUUCAACACUAAUCCCGAAAGUACAGGGAGUGUGCGAUGAUGAUCAUAUCAAUCUUGGAACUACUUCCAACACACAUCGUCACCUCGCCUUUUACUAGUCUCUGUUUAUACUGCAACUCCCGUUUCGAGUUACUACUCUUUGGCAACUGAACCAGUAUCAAAUACCGAGGGGUUGCUAUAAACACUAAUAAAGUACACAUCAAUAACAUGUAUAUCCAAUAUACCUUUGUUCACUUUGCCAUCCUUCUUAUCCACCAAAUAGUUGGGGCAGUUCCGCCUCCAGUGACCAGUCCCUUUGCAGUAGAAGCACUUAGUCUCAGGCUUAGGUACAGACUUGGGCUUCUUCACUUGAGUAGCAACUUGCUUGCCGUUCUUUUUGAAGUUCCCCUUCUUCCCUUAGCCCUUUUCUUGAAACUAGUGGUCUCGUCAACCAUCAACACUUGAUGUUUUUCUUGAUUUCUACCUUCGUCGAUUUCAGCAUCACGAAGAGCUCUGGAAUUACUUUCGUCAUCCCUUGCAUACUAUAGUUAAUCACGAAGUUCUACUAACUUGGUGAUGGUGACUAGAGAAUUCUGUCAAUCACUAUUUUAUCUGGAAGAUAAACUCCCACUUGAUUCAAGCGAUUGUAGUACCCAGACAAUCUGAGCACAUGCUCACUAGUUGAGCGAUUCUCCUCCAUCUUUUAGCUAUAGAACUUGUUGGAGACUUCAUAUCUCUCAACUCGGAUAUUUGCUUGAAAUAUUAACUUCAACUCCUGGAACAUCUCAUAUGGUCCAUGACGUUCAAAACGUCUUUGAAGUCCCGAUUCUCAGUCGUUAAGCAUGGUGCACUAAACUAUCAAGUAGUCAUCAUAUUGAGCUAGCCAAACGUUCAUAACGUCUGCAUCUGCUCCUGCAAUAGGUCUGUCACCUAGCGGUUCAUCAAGGACAUAAUUUUUCUGUGCAGCAAUGAGGAUAAUCCUCAGAUCACGGAUCCAAUCCGCAUCUUUGCUACUAACAUCUUUCAACAUAAUUUUUCUCUAGGAACAUAUCAAAAAUAAACACAGGGAAGCAACAACGCGAGCUAUUGAUCUACAACAUAAUUUGCAAAAUACUAUCAGGACUAAGUUCAUGAUAAAUUUAAGUUCAAUUAAUCAUAUUACUUAAGAACUCCCACUUAGAUAGAUAUCCCUCUAAUCAUCUAAGUGAUUACGUGAUCCAAAUCAACUAAACCAUGUCCGAUCAUCACGUUAGAUGGAGUAGUUUCAAUGGUGAACAUCACUAUGUUGAUCAUAUCUACUAUAUGAUUCACGCUCGACCUUUCGGUCUCCGUGUUCCGAGGCCAUAUCUGCAUAUGCUAGGCUCGUCAAGUUUAACCUGAGUAUUCCGCGUGUGCAAAACUGUCUUGCACCCGUUGUAUUUGAACGUAGAGCCUAUCACACCCGAUCAUCACGUGGUGUCUCAGCACGAAGAACUUUCGCAACGGUGCAUACUCAGGAAGAACACUUUUAUCUUGAAAUUUUAGUGAGAGAUCAUCUUAUAAUGCUACCAUCAAUCAAAGCUAGAUAAGAUGCAUAAAGGAUUAACAUCACAUGCAAUCAAUAUAAGUGAUAUGAUAUGGCCAUCAUCAUCUUGUGCUUGUGAUCUCCAUCUUCGAAGCACCAUGCUCGUGAUCUCCAUCUCCGAAGCACCGUCAUGAUCACCAUCGUCACCGGCGCGACACCUUGAUCUCCAUCGCAGUAUCGUUGUCGUCUCGCCAACUUAUUGCUUUUACGACUAUCGCUACCGCUUAGUGAUAAAGUAAAACUAUUACAUGGCGAUUGCAUUUCAUACAAUAAAGCGACAACCAUAUGGCUCCUGCCAGUUGCCGAUAACUCGGUUACAAAACAUGAUCAUCUCAUACAACAAAUUAUAUCACAUCAUGUCUUGACCAUAUCACAUCACAACAUGCCCUGCAAAAACAAGUUAGACGUCCUCUACUUUGUUGUUGCAAGUUUUACGUGGCUGCUACGGGCUUAGCAAGAACCGUUCUUACCUACGCAUCAAAACCACAAUGAUAGUUUGUCAAGUUGGUGCUGUUUUAACCUUCGCAAGGACCGGGCGUAGCCACACUCGGUUCAACUAAAGUGAGAGAGACAGACACCCGCCAGUCACAUUUAAGCAACGAGUGCUCCGAACGGUGAAACCAGUCUCGCGUAAGCGUACGCGUAAUGUCGGUCCGGGCCGCUUCAUCUCACAAUACCGCUGAACCAAAGUAUGACAUGCUGGUAAGCAGUAUGACUUAUAUCGCCCACAACUCACUUGUGUUCUACUCGUGCAUAGCAUCAACGCAUAAAACCAGGCUCGGAUGCCACUGUUGGGGAACGUAGUAAUUUCAAAAAAAUUCCUACGCACACGCAAGAUCAUGGUGAUGCAUAGCAACGAGAGGGGAGAGUGUUGUCCACGUACCCUCGUAGACCGACAGCAGAAGUGUUAUCACAACGUGGUUGAUGUAGUCGUACGUCUUCACGAUCCGACCGAUCAAGUACCGAACGCACGGCACCUCCGAGUUCAACACACGUUCAGCUCGAUGACGUCCCUCGAACUCCGAUCCAGCCGAGUGUUGAGGGAGAGUUUCGUCAGCACGACGGCGUGGUGACGAUGAUGAUGUUCUACCGACGCAGGGCUUCGCCUAAGCUCCGCAACGAUAUUAUCGAGGUGUAAUUUGGUGGAGGGGGGCACCGCACACGGCUAAAAGAUCUCAAAGAUCAAUUGUUGUGUCUCUGGGGUGCCCCCUGCCCCCGUAUAUAAAGGAGCAAGGGGGAGGCAGCCGGCCAAGGGGAGAGGCGCGCCAAAGGGGGGAGUCCUACUCCCACCGGGAGUAGGACUCCUCCUUUCUUUGUGGGAGUAGGAGAAGGGAAGGGGAAAGGAGAAAGAAGAAAGGGCCCCCCCCCCUCCCUAGUCCAAUUCGGACUAGCCCAUGGGGAGGGGUGCGGCCACCCUUUGGGGUCUUUCUCUCCUUUCCCGUAUGGCCCAUUAAGGCCCAAUACGAAUUCCCGUAACUCUCCGGUACUCCGAAAAAUACCCGAAUCACUCGGAACCUUUCCGAAGUCCGAAUAUAGUCGUCCAAUAUAUCGAUCUUUACGUCUUGGCCAUUUCGAGAGUCCUCGUCAUGUCCCCGAUCUCAUCCGGGACUCCGAACUCCUUCGGUACAUCAACAUACAUAAACUCAUAAUAAAACUGUCAUCGUAACGUUAAGCGUGCGGACCCUUCGGGUUCGAGAACUAUGUAGACAUGACCGAGACACCUCUCCGGUCAAUAACCAAUAGCGGAACCUGGAUGCUCAUAUUGGUUCCCACAUAUUCUACGAAGAUCUUUAUCGGUCAAACCGCAUAACAACAUACGUUGUUCCCUUUGUCAUCGGUAUGUUACUUGCCCGAGAUUCGAUCGUCGGUAUCUCAAUACCUAGUUCAAUCUCGUUACCGGCAAGUCUCUUUACUCGUUCCGUAAUACAUCAUCCCGCAACUAUCUCAUUAGUCACAAUGCUUGCAAGGCUUUAUAGUGAUGUGCAUUACCAAGUGGGCCCAGAGAUACCUCUCCGACAAUCGGAGUGACAAAUCCUAAUCUCGAAAUACGCCAACCCAACAAGUACCUUUGGAGACACCUGUAGAGCACCUUUAUAAUCACCCAUUUACGUUGUGACGUUUGGUAGCACACAAAGUGUUCCUCCGGUAAACGGGAGUUGCAUAAUCUCAUAGUCAAAGGAACAUGUAUAAGUCAUGAAGAAAGCAAUAGCAACAUACUAAACGAUCGGGUGCUAAGCUAACGGAAUGGGUCAAGUCAAUCACGUCAUUCUCCUAAUGAGGUGAUCCCGUUAAUCAAAUGACAACUCAUGUCUAUGGCUAGGAAACAUAACCAUCUUUGAUUAACGAGCUAGUCAAGUAGAGGCAUACUAGUGACACUCUGUUUGUCUAUGUAUUCACACAUGUAUUAUGUUUCCGGUUAAUACAAUUCUAGCAUGAAUAAUAAACAUUUAUCAUGAUAUAAGGAAAUAUAUAAUACUUUAUUAUUGCCUCAAGGGCAUAUUUCCUUCAUAUUAUGGGAAGGAGGGAGUAGUUUAUUAUGUAAUAAUAGAGUUACAAUCGAGAGGCAAGAGCUCCUCAAUACAUGGGGGGCUGUUAUGACCGGCAUAUUAGGGGCUUAGCCCAGUGGGCUCUGGCCCAAGUUAUCUUAUUGUCAUUAGGGGUCUAGCCCAAUUAUUUUAUCAUUAUUAGGGUUGUUUGCUUAAGAGUCAAGUAAACCUUUGUAUAUAAGGAGAGGAGAUGUAUCAAUCUAAUCAAGCAAGAUACAAUCAUUAUUUGCUCGGCUUCCCUUAGGGAGCCAGGAGACCUAACCCUAGCCGUCUCUUACGCCGCCGCCUCUUCUCCACCACGCAAGGACGGCGCCCAGCCGCCGGCCGCCACGCUCUCGUCCUCGUCUUCCUCCAUCCCUUCCCCUACAACCUCCGCCCUAGAACCGGCAGAACCCUAACUCCUAACACCUUGGUAUCAGGUAGCUCAGUUUCGAUCAUGUCUUCGUCGCCGCCCAUCCUGUCGCUUCCUGUAGGAGAUAUGCCCUAGAGGCAAUAAUAAAUGUUAUUGAUUAUCUCCCUGUUCAUAAUUAUGUUUAUGUUCCAUGCUAUAACUGCUGUGGUUCCCGAGCCCGUAUAUCCAUAAAGGCUCUGGGGAGAACCCAUAUGCACGUGUGGAAUAAUAAACGGUAAAAUGUAUUCCUGGUCGUGCCUCUAAGACUAGCUCAAGUGUUGCAUGAUGAUUAUGUUUUCCCAAUCAUGGGCAUGUCUAUGCCAAGCAACUUUGAGGGCACAAUGUCAGGAAGGACAUUUGUGUUGAAUCGACCCGAAUUGAUGUUAUGCUAUGAGAUACAUUUGUCACAAGUUAAUGGUUUAUAACACAGAGAUAGUUAAUGUUUGCAUAAUUCCUUAGACCAUGAGAGUAUCGAGUUUCUUCAUGCUUGCUUCAUGAACUUUGGGGUUUGUUAAACGUCAUCCGUAACUGGAUGGCUAUUAAGGCAGCUUACGGGUUCAUGGGAAAGUAUGUUAAGUAAUUUGAUAGCUCGAGAUUGGGAUUUGCUCCUCCGACGAUGGAGAGAUAUACUCGGGCCCUCUCGGUGUUACGGUGUCCAUCAUCGUCUGGCCAGACACUUUGUGAUUUGAUCACGGGGAUGCCGGAACACGAAACGAGAAAAGAGAACAAAACCGGUAACGAGGUAACUAGCAUAGUGGACAAGUUGUUGAUCCACGGGAAUGCCAACAUGUCUCACCUCGGGUAUUUGUAACAUAUCGCGAAGCAACAGGAAUAGCACACGGCAACUGGAGGUUCACUCGAAUAUUUAUUCGUGUGGGUAUAGGGGUCAAUAUGGGUGUCCACGGCUCCGAUGUUGAUCAUUGAUCGGAAGGGGUUCCAGGUCAUGUCUAUACUUCACCGAACCUAUAGGGUCACACGCUUAAGGGUCAUCUAUCUGCUGAAUACUAGACAGGGAGUCUGAGAGAAAAUCACCGAAAAAGUUUCGGACAGCGGAAUCGUACCGCAGAGAGAGGUCACCGGAUGAGUUUCGGUUAAACCGAAAAAGUUGUUUCGGGGUAUGCCAUUAAGUCAAAAUGGUUUCGGCACAUGCCUAAUAAUUCUUGGAGGGUGCCAGAAUCAUUCUGGAAACUUUUUGGAAUUUUCAGAAAUAAAAACCGAAAAUGUUUCGGAGCUACCGUUACCGCUUUGGCUGUUUUUCGCAGAUGAAAUUCACUAAUCUGAAAUUGUUUCAGAACGAAUCCAAAAUCAUUUUAGUGGGUACUGGAAUUAUUCUAAGACCCAUAGAAAUAUUUUCGGAUUUAGUGGACGCGAAAAAUUGUCUUCAUGAAUAGUGAAAACGCAUUCUUGUUUGCUUUUCGCAGAUGAAAAUUACUAAACCGAAAUUGUUUCGGAACGCGUUGAAAAUUAUUUUAGUGGGUACUGGAAAUAUUCUGAGCCCACAUAAAUAUUUUCAAUUCGAACGGACGCUGAAAAAUGUCGUCAUGAAUAGUGAAAGUGCUUUUUGCUUGGCUUCUUGGAGAAGCCACCUUGAGGGCCUUUUUGGUAUUUCCCCCCUUGGCUUCUUGGAGAAGCCACCCUUGGGCUUGGCCUAUAAAUAGGGGUGGAGGGGGCUGCCUAAAGGAUCAUCCCUUCUCACAUACAUGCCAUUGCAAUGAUCUGGCUUCUUCUCUCCCUCCCAGCGAAAUAGUUUCGUAGAGCCGAAAGGCUGUCUGGGUUCCGGCAGGAACUAGUUCUGGACGGCGAAGCCCUGCCGGAUAGCUGACACCGUAUGUGUGCAACUCUGUAGAGAGGUCGUAGUUUCGAUCUUAGUGCCCUGAGGGGCUGUUCGAGUGUGCCUCCCGAAGGGCUGUCCAAGUGACGGUCCGAGUUCUGUGGGUCCUCCCGGAGGGCUGUCCGAGGGACCGUUCGAGUUUCGAAGGUCCUCCCGAAGGGCUGUCCGCGACACCGUCCGGGGGACUGUUCGACCGCCUCCCGGAGAGCUGUCCGUAUAGCGGAUGAGGGUAUACAUCCUCGCGGUUGGGAGGUUGUAAAUCCUAGCUGCGGGGAUCUACACCGCCGAUCGUCAUCGACUCUACUUCCCGCUGCGCUACGAGUCGGUAACGAAAAAGAUCAAACCUUGUAUGCAGUCUCCAUAGUGGUCCUGGGCUGGUGCGUAGGUCAGAAAUUUUUUGUUUUCUGCUACGUUACCCUACAGUGGCAUCAAGAGCCGUGCUAUGCGUAGAUGCAGGUUUCAAUCUAGAAUACAUGGAGAUGUAUGGGUAUUGCAUAAUAUAAUUAGGUAGUAGAUGAGAUCUAUUGCUGAAAAUUAUUUAUGCGGGUGACAGGUGAAAUCUGUUACCCGACGUUCUUGUUGCUUCCCUAGAAUUUGCGUUUGCUCAAUCUCGAGACAGCAUGGUGGAAUUUGACAAAGUUCUGGCAAUCCGUGAUCCUGAUUGAUCAUGGAAGUGCUAUCAGUUCUUUGGGUUCUGCCGUAGUCAAAAGAAAGAUGAAAUUCGCAGAUGAAAGGGCAUUGCAGAUAUUAUCUGCACGGGGGUCAUGCGUAUGACGAAGUUCAGUAUGGGGCUCGAGAUUUAAUUAUCUCGUGUUUCAUACACCCCGAGAUGUUAAUCUAGCAACUUGAAUAAUCAUACUUGAUGAUAAAACGUUGGUAGCUGCGGUUUAAGUGAAAACCUUAGAAGCCACGUAAAAUAAAAUUUUGCAUAAACCGAUUAGAGGUGUCUAACUUGGUUUUGUAGGAUGUGCAUGUGAUGUGGUAUAGCAGUGCUCAUACUAAUUCGAUUAUGUAUGAGAUGACUAUAUGAUGUAAUUUGAUUAACAUGACCUUCGUGUCAUGGUUCGGCAUGAUGGCUGGAGCCAUAUGAUUGCACUUUAAUGACCUGCGUGUCAACCUUAAGUAAUGCAUUAAUUUUAUACGCUAUGGAGAUAGCAAUAUUAUCUGGUGCAUCGACAAGGUGGUGGCAAUCUUCGCGAAGGUGAACACCAACACGAAUGCCGAAGACGAAGAAAUGAAAUACUUCUCCGUCAGAAAGGGCUAUACCAUAUCAUGCUAUUAUGAAUUGCCUGAGAUGUUUAUCCCUUAUGUUGCACCCUUCUUGAUUGCAUGGUAGUCGCUUUUUAUUAGGGUGAUCUCUCACAAAAAUACCAAGUAGUUAGUGUUCUCCCAAGUGUAGCACCGUCACAGCACCUAUCUUUUUGGGGUGCGCCGUGUCACACGGGUACGGACGAUUAGAGAAGUGUGAGGCGAGUGAGUUGAGACCUCGCAGCGAGAUCACUUGGUUGUCUUGACGUUCAGGCAUGACCGUCAUGAGCUCGGAAUACACGCAUCGAAAGAUGAACAACAGUCACAUAGAGAUGUGAUUGGCAAGUUGGCCUACCGGUUGAGAUUUUUCAUCAUCAGUGGUGUUACACCAAUGGCGAACAAUUGAAAUGUGGGUCUUGUAUCACUCACAAUCAAUUUUGAGAGAUAUUGAUUUGAGUGGGAGCGCACUGUUGAAUUAACAUGUUUAAUUCUCAGUGCAAUUAAUUAUGAACACUGUCUAAGUGUUUCUUGCAAAAUAGUUGUAGAAUAAUGGCUCGCGUUUCCACCUUCCCUAUUAAAAUUGAAUAGCUGCUAAAUAUCUAGUUAAAACUUUAUGAUUGGUAACGUGAUAUGAGGAUUCUCCUCAAAAGUGCCGAGAAGGACUUUGUCCUAUCGCAUGCUUUCCGUAUCCUCCCGCUAAUGCUAUGGAUCAUGUGACUCUCGUCCUUUGAUCCAAAAGCUAUAAUUCCGUUUCAGUCAAGUGCAAUAUGUUUGCUUCCAUGAAACGCAAACUUCGAAAGUUGGGAUAGUUAUAUGAUAUUCAUGGAACUGGAAAUUAAUUUCAGAUACAAACAAAGCAAUGUUUGUUUGCAAGUAUUAGUAAAAGUGUUUACUAUGCAUUUGACUAUUGGGAAAGGGAUCCAGAAGAACGCCUGUCAUAUAAUGAAAGGUGAAUAAAACAACAACUUAAAGAGAAAGGAAGUGUCCAAAGGGUGUUAGUAUGACUUACACACCUAGGAAGUCCGGGGCUAACGCCACUCUUAAGUUGGGUGCUUCUUUUGCGAGUAGGAGAAAUACUAAAAGUUAAUCUGUUAGAAGUAUAAAGGCAGAAAGAAAGAUGACUGGAAUAUCCAGCUCAUGUAUGAAUGUCAUACAAGUUUUUGAUGUAUAGUAGGCUGGUCAAAGAUAUAGUUCUUGGGAAUUAUGGUUAAACAUGUUAAUCACUAAUUCUUGGGUAUUGUGAGUUAAUCACAAAGAUACCCGCUCGAUUGCAUUCAAUUGUGGAUCACUGUAAGAGCUACUAUGGCCUAAAAAGACUAGCCAGAAAUGAGGUUAAGGUAUACACAGGGAACAUAGUAAAUGUUACUAUACCUUCCAUCGGUGUAUUGCCGUCUGUAUUUAUUUUCAUAAUUCAUUUAGAGUUUUACAAACUCUAGCCCAUUGCAUAAGGUAUCUUGCAAGAAGGUUGUUCAUAAGAGAACCUUUUAUGUUCGAUGUUAUGAAUAACACAAGGGCCAUACUUUCAUUAUGAAUGAGAUGUAUGUUAUGAAUAUUGAUAAUAAUACAAUACCUCUGGGUUUACUUUCAUAAUUCAUUUUAGAGUUUCAUACACUCUAGCCCAUUGCACAAUGUUUGUUGCAAAAGAGUUGUUCAUAAAAACAACAAUUCUUGUUAAGUAUUAUGAAUAACAUGAAGGGCCAUGCUUCCAUCCAAGAUGGGACGUAUGUUAUGAAUAUUGAGGGUAAUAUGAUACAUCCAUAACACUGACGCUAAAUGUCGCAAGACUAAAAGAAUACCACACAAGUGUGGCACUACAUUUGGUCACAUUGGAGAAACCCGCAUGGAAAAUUCCAUUAUGAUGGAUUUUGAAGUCUUUUUGAUUUUGAAUCAUCUGACACUUGCAACUUUCCUCCGAAAAGUGAAGUGACUAAAAUACCGUUCACAGGCCAUAAGGAACGAACAACAAACUUAUUAGUGAUCAUACAUUUGAUGUGUGUAGUCCGAUAAGUGUUGUUAGUGGUGGAUUUAUUUAUCUUCAGAAAUGACUCAAGUAGAUAUAUGGAUAUUUACUUGAUGAGACGUAAGUCUGGAUCUUUUGAAAUCAUUCGAAAGGUUUUCAAAAAUGAAGUAGAAGUUAUUGUAACAAGAAAAUUAUGUUUCUGCAAUUUGAUUGCACAAAGGAAUAUUUGAGUUACAUGUUUAGCAAAUGUCUGAUGAGUUGUGAAAGGGGUUUCAUAACUUGCACCUCCCGGAACACCACUGCAAGUGAAAAGUCCGUGGAGAUGUAAUCUAACCAUUUAUGACAUGGUAAGGUCAAAGAUGACAUAAAUAAAUUUGCCAUUAUCCUUUUUAAAGUGAUGCUUUAGAGACUUCGGCUUUUACACUGAAAAGAGCUACAUCGGGUCUGUUGAAAUGAAGCCAUGGUAUGGUACGCCCAACCAUGUUGUAUCUUUUCUUAACAUUUGGAAUAUGGGGCUUGUGUAAAAGGUUACAAACCUAUUCCAAAUCAGACAAGUGCUACUUUGUAGGUUAUCCCAAGUCAUUGGGUAUUCCUCCCUCACUAUACCGAGGCAAAUAGGUUUGCCACAAAGAACGGUAUGCUUUUAAAGAGAAUGGUUCUUUCUAAAAGGUGAGUGGGAGAAUAGUGCAACUCGACGAGAUAAACAGUAUCUUCAUCAGAUCAAAGGAAAGAGACCUUGGAAGUAAUUCCAGAGUUUCCUACUGCGACUGAUACGGAAGCCUCUACAAUAAAAUGUAUGAACUUUGGUCGAACUUGCAGCUGAACCACGUAGGCAUGGCUCGUGCAAACCUCUCAGGUGCGCAAACGAGAUAUUGUUGUUAGACAACAUUAUACCUACGAUCCACAAGGAAGCGUUGAUGGGCCCUGACUCCAGAAUUGGCUAAAUGCCAAUACAACCCGAGUUAGUUUCCAUAUAAGUGAUUCAAGAUUAAAACCUUGAUACACCUUUCGGAAGACUUAGAGUCUAACGAAUAUUUAUGGAACUUAAAACUGAUACGGAUAAAAAUGUUUUAUCCAUAAAGCUCGACUUGUUGAAAUAACAAGUUCAAGAGUUGACUACGAUGAGGUUGUUUUCAUCGUAGCGAUGCUUAAAGUCGGUUCGGGUUGAACUAGCAAUUAAUACAUAUUUCAAUCAUGAGAUAUGAAACAUGGAUGAUAAAAGGAUUUCCAUCUGAUGGAAAUGAAAGCUAGGACUUGUAUAUGAUACAGUCCAAAGUAAUUUGUCGAUCCAGAGGAUGCUAGUAGGUAUGCAAACUUCAGAGUUCCAGCAAUGGACAGAAGAGAGCAAAAUGGAGUUGGAAUCUUCGUGUUUUGAUGAAAUGAUCAAAGGGGUUUUGACUUCAUCAAUGGGUAACGAAGAUGCUUGUAAUUCAAGAAAGUAAGUGGGAGCGUAAUAAUAUUUCUAAAAACCUUAUGUGCUUGGCACAUUGGUAAUUGGAAAUAAAUUUCUUGACACAAAUUAGGACUUUAUUUGAAAAUAGUUUUUCGAUGAAGUGCUUAGGCUAAAUAGCCUCAAUAUUAGGCAUGAUGAUCUAUGGAGAUAGAUUUACCUAAUGGGGCUAAGCAAUGAAUACAUAUUGACAAGAUGCUAAAACCUUUUAGCAUUUAAAACGCCAAGGAGUGAUUCUUGCCAAAGUCACAUGGAAAGAGUUUUUGCAAGACUCGGUGUCCCAAAACACUGAUGAGUAAAAUACCUGAUGCAGAUUCCACACACUUUUGUGUGUGGAUUAAUCAUGUAUUCCAUGGUAUGUAAAACAACCAGAUAUGUCCGAUACUCCCAAGGUGUUGCGAGUAUGGAUACCAAAGUGAUCAAAUUACUGAUCAUGGGACAACAGUGAAAGAUGUCACAGAGUACUAGAGUAAGUACUGAUGACAUGGUUUUCUCGCAAGCAGAGAUCAUGAAGAGUUCGUUGUAAAAUGUUACAUCGAUACAGUCUUCAUCUUUUCUCCAUGCGAUUUUCGAUUUAAAUUAAGGGUUUUGUGUAACACACAAUGUGGUGGCACAAUUAGUUGGAAUUUGUUCAAACUAGUUACUGUGGUGAAUUCUAUAACAAGGGCUAAGUAUGUUGACGCUUUAGAAGCGACAAAGAAGAUGUUGAAUCAUAUAGUUCAUUCAUGAACUUAGUAUAGUUCCAAGAUGGCUUUCAACAAUGGGACACUACUGCAGGUAGUUGCUCCAUAACUCAGUCUGAGGAAUCCAGGUUCGACCUGUGAUUCACAUACAUACAAAGCCAAGUCCACACAAAAUAUGAAUUUUGUGAAAACGCGAGGACAUGCAAAGAUACACACGGAACUGAAGUCGUCAGAUCCGUUGGACAUCAGGCUAUACCACAAGCGAAGCAUAUUUACACCGGUGUGCAACAGGUGUGAAGUGCAUUAGCAUAAGCUAGAUUAUUGUCUCUUGUGCAAGUGGGAGUCUGUAGGAGAUAUGCCCUAGAGGCAAUAAUAAAUGUUAUUGAUUAUCUCCCUGUUCAUAAUUAUGUUUAUGUUCCAUGUUAUAACUGCUGUGGUUCCCGAGCCCGUAUAUCCAUAAAGGCUCUGGGGAGAACCCAUAUGCACGUGUGGAAUAAUAAACGGUAAAAUGUAUUCCUGGUCGUGCCUCUAAGACUAGCUCAAGUGUUGCAUGAUGAUUAUGUUUUCCCAAUCAUGGGCAUGUCUAUGCCAAGCAACUUUGAGGGCACAAUGUCAGGAAGGACAUUUGUGUUGAAUCGACCCGGAUUGAUGUUAUGCUAUGAGAUACAUUUGUCACAAGUUAAUGGUUUAUAACACAGAGAUAGUUAAUGUUUGCAUAAUUCCUUAGACCAUGAGAGUAUCGAGUUUCUUCAUGCUUGCUUCAUGAACUUUGGGGUUUGUUAAACGUCAUCCGUAACUGGAUGGCUAUUACGGCGGCUUACGGGUUCAUGGGAAAGUAUGUUAAGUAACUUGAUAGCUCGAGAUUGGGAUUUGCUCCUCCGACGAUGGAGAGAUAUACUCGGGCCCUCUCGGUGUUACGGUGUCCAUCAUCGUCUGGCCAGACACUUUGUGAUUUGAUCACGGGGAUGCCGGAACACGAAACGAGAAAAGAGAACAAAACCGGUAACGAGGUAACUAGCAUAGUGGACAAGUUGUUGAUCCACGGGAAUGCCAACAUGUCUCACCUCGGGUAUUUGUAACAUAUCGCGAAGCAACAGGAAUAGCACACGGCAACUGGAGGUUCACUCGAAUAUUUAUUCGUGUGGGUAUAGGGGUCAAUAUGGGUGUCCACGGCUCCGAUGUUGAUCAUUGAUCGGAAGGGGUUCCAGGUCAUGUCUAUACUUCACCGAACCUAUAGGGUCACACGCUUAAGGGUCAUCUAUCUGCUGAAUACUAGACAGGGAGUCUGAGAGAAAAUCACCGAAAAAGUUUCGGACAGCGGAAUCGUACCGCAGAGAGAGGUCACCGGAUGAGUUUCGGUGAAACCGAAAAAGUUGUUUCGGGGUAUGCCAUUAAGUCAAAAUGGUUUCGGCACAUGCCUGAUAAUUCUUGGAGGGUGCCAGAAUCAUUCUGGAAACUUUUUGGAAUUUUCAGAAAUAAAAACCGAAAAUGUUUCGGAGCUGCCGGUACCGCUUUGGCUGUUUUUCACAGAUGAAAUUCACUAAUCUGAAAUUGUUUCAGAACGAAUCCAAAAUCAUUUUAGUGGGUACUGGAAUUAUUCUAAGACCCAUAGAAAUAUUUUCGGAUUUAGUGGACGCGAAAAAUUGUCUUCAUGAAUAGUGAAAACGCAUUCUUGUUUGCUUUUCGCAGAUGAAAAUUACUAAACCGAAAUUGUUUCGGAACGCGUUGAAAAUUAUUUUAGUGGGUACUGGAAAUGUUCUGAGCCCACAUAAAUAUUUUCAAUUCGAACGGACGCUGAAAAAUGUCUUCAUGAAUAGUGAAAGUGCUUUUUGCUUGGCUUCUUGGAGAAGCCACCUUGAGGGCCUUUUUGGUAUUUCCCCCCUUGGCUUCUUGGAGAAGCCACCCUUGGGCUUGGCCUAUAAAUAGGGGUGGAAGGGGCUGCCUAAAGGAUCAUCCCUUCUCACAUACAUGCCAUUGCAAUGAUCUGGCUUCUUCUCUCCCUCCCAGCGAAAUAGUUUCGUAGAGCCGAAAGGCUGUCUGGGUUCCGGCAGGAACUAGUUCUGGACGGCGAAGCCCUGCCGGAUAGCUGACACCUUAUGUGUGCAACUCUGUAGAGAGGUCGUAGUUUCGAUCUUAGUGCCCUGAGGGGCUGUUCGAGUGUGCCUCCCGAAGGGCUGUCCAAGUGACGGUCCGAGUUCUGUUGGUCCUCCCGGAGGGCUGUCCGAGGGACCGUUCGAGUUUUGAAGGUCCUCCCGAAGGGCUGUCCGCGACACCGUCCGGGGGACUGUUCGACCGCCUCCCGGAGAGCUGUCCGUAUGGCGGAUGAGGGUAUACAUCCUCGCGGUUGGGAGGUUGUAAAUCCUAGCUGCGGGGAUCUACACCGCCGAUCGUCAUCGACUCUACUUCCCGCUGCGCUACGAGUCGGUAACGAAAAAGAUCAAACCUUGUAUGCAGUCUCCAUAGUGGUCCUGGGCUGGUGCGUAGGUUAGAAAUUUUUUGUUUUCUGCUACGUUACCCUACACUUCCGCUGCCGACCGUCACCACCGCGCCGCUGGCCCUCUCCACCGCGCCACUGCCCUUCCCGUCCGCAUCGCUGGUCGCAUCCUCUGGCGCCGCCACCACCCAGAUGACGGCGCCCUCCACCGCACCACCGGCCGCCGCCUACACUCCGGAGGAGAUCACCGGGGUCCUCAACGAUCUCGUCACCGCCGUCCAGGGGAUACGGCUAUACCUAGCCGGCCCCUACGGGCCGCCGCCGCCCUUGCCGCCGGCCGGCGCGACUGGGCCAGCCGCCCUGCCGUGGUAUUCGGCACCCGCAACACCGACCGGGCCUCUACACCACCACUGGCCGCUUCAGCCGCCGCCCGCCGCCGCGCNNNNNNNNNNNNNNNNNNNNNNNNNNNNNNNNNNNNNNNNNNNNNNNNNNNNNNNNNNNNNNNNNNNNNNNNNNNNNNNNNNNNNNNNNNNNNNNNNNNNNNNNNNNNNNNNNNNNNNNNNNNNNNNNNNNNNNNNNNNNNNNNNNNNNNNNNNNNNNNNNNNNNNNNNNNNNNNNNNNNNNNNNNNNNNNNNNNNNNNNNNNNNNNNNNNNNNNNNNNNNNNNNNNNNNNNNNNNNNNNNNNNNNNNNNNNNNNNNNNNNNNNNNNNNNNNNNNNNNNNNNNNNNNNNNNNNNNNNNNNNNNNNNNNNNNNNNNNNNNNNNNNNNNNNNNNNNNNNNNNNNNNNNNNNNNNNNNNNNNNNNNNNNNNNNNNNNNNNNNNNNNNNNNNNNNNNNNNNNNNNNNNNNNNNNNNNNNNNNNNNNNNNNNNNNNNNNNNNNNNNNNNNNNNNNNNNNNNNNNNNNNNNNNNNNNNNCACCCACGCCACCCGGGUCCUCGCCGCCACCGCCCUGGCAGCCGCCGCACCCCGGGGCCACCGCGACGCUAGUCGGGCCGCUGCAGCCCUCGCUGCAGCUACAACCAGCCCACUCCACCGCCCCGAUCUAGCCACAAUGGCCGGCCGCAGCCAUCGCCGCGCCCGCCGCCUCCGCCGUUUCCAAGCAGCAGCUGCCGCUGCCGGCGCCUCCGCCGCCCCGCACCGGGCUGACUACAACCGCGCCGUCGGGCUUGCCGAUUUAGCAAGUGCGGUUCCCGCCCUCGUCGUCCCAGCUUCCGGACAGGUUGGCCGGGACGUCACCGCCGCUAGUCCACACCAUGGCCGCAGACCAGCCGGCGCCCUCCCUGCCGUACGACAGGCCCUCCUGCUCCGCGGGCUUCAAAGGGCCACCGCUUUCCUGCGGACCACCUGUGCACACCGGACCAACGCCAUCCUCUUCGCUACUCCGUACCGCCGAGCCGUACACUCACGGCGGUCAUGCUCAGACACCGCCGCGCUUCGCCAAGCUCGGCUUCGCCACCUACGACGGCGCCGAGGACCCCCUCAACUGGCUCAACCAGUGCGAGCAGUUCUUCCAGGGGCAACGGACGCUCGCGUCGGACCGCACAUGGCUCGCUUCUUAUCACAUCCGCGGCGCCGCACAGACAUGGUACUACGCCCUCGAGCAGGACGAGGGCGGCAUGCCCCCAUGGGAGCGUUUUCGCGAGUUCUGCCUCCUUCGCUUCGGACUGCCGAUACGUGGGAGCCGGCUGGCGGAGUUGGGCCGCCUUCCCUUCUCCUCUACAGUGCAGGACUACACCAACCGCUUUCAGGCCCUAGCGUGCCACGCGUCCGGCGUAACGGCUCACCAACGGGCCGAACUCUUCGUCGGCGGUCUACCAGAUCAUAUCCGCGUGGACAUCGAGUUGCAGGGACCCCAGGACCUCCAGACGGCCAUGUACUACAUCCGCGCGUUCGAGCGCCGCGCGGUGGCCAUCCAGCAGGAAUCACCGUCCCGGGCCGCUGGGCCUCCACCCUGGCCGGAUGUUCCCGCGCAGGGUCGGCCUGCUCAGGCUUCCGCGGCACCCCUUGCCGCGACCGCGGCGUGCCCGUUCCGCCGUCUCACCUCGGCCGAGCUACUCGAGCGUCGCCGCCAAGGGUUGUGCUUCAACUGCGACGAGACCUACAUGGCCAGCCAUGUCUGCCCCCGACUCUUCUACCUGGAGGUUGCAUACUACAUUGAGGAGGAUGCCGUCGCCGCCGGGCUCGGCGACCUGGCCGCCCCAGCUGUCGCGGAGGUGUUUGAUGCUGGUUGCUCACCUCGAGGAGUUCAGCAAGCGCUUCCCCACCUUACAGCUCGAGGACAAGCUUUUUGUGCAGGCGGGGAGAAGUGUUAUGACCGGCAUAUUACGGGCUUAGCCCAGUGGGCUGUGGCCCAAGUUAUCUUAUUGUUAUUAGGGGUUUAACCCAAUUAUCUUAUCGUUAUUAGGGUCGUUUGCUUAGGGGUCAAGUAAACCUUUCUAUAUAAGUAGAGGAGAUGUAUCAAUCUAAUCAAGCAAGAAGCAAUCAUUAUUUGCUCGGCUUCCCUUAGGGAGCCGGGAGACCUAACCCAAGCCGCCUCUUGCGCCGCCGCCGCCUCUUCUCCACCACGCAUGGACGACGCCCAGCCGCCAGCCGCCGCGCUCUCGUCCUCGUCUUCCUCCAUCCUUCCCCUACAAUCUCUGCCCUAGAACCGGCAGAACCCUAGCUUCUAACAGGGGCACUUCCAAGCCACACAGUUAUGGCUCGCUCUGAAUGAGUAUACCUUGCCAGACAAUCGGCAACUCUAUUUUGAGUUAUAUGUAGCUUCUGUGGAAUAAACUCUCUACCGACCAUUAAAGACUUAAUUUCAGGAACUAAAUGCACAUAAACCGAACGAACCAAACUUGACCCGGAGAGACAUGAAAGAGCAGUCGAAGUCUCGAAGCGUCAGACUGCACCAGAAUAGGUAACUCGGUAUGCUAAGGGGGCGAGUGCCUUACCGAUCGUUACCGGCCAUUGUCCCCUCCGUUCCGAUGUGCUUUCAGGCUGCUGUCUGAUAGGAUCGAGAAAGCUCUGCUUUUACAGACUCGUUUGCAGCUGUGGAUCCUAAUACUUCACCUUCAGGCAUCGUGAUUCUACCACAUGAGCUUUUGUUUUACCAAAGCAACUCCCAUAUAACACGAGACUGAAGCAUGACAAGAUUACAGGAGUUCUCCCAGCUACUAGACAAAAAACACUAAUUUAAAUAUAGCCCUUUUUUAACUCCAGAUUUUCAUAACAUCAACCACGCUAGCAUAAGUAAGACCAGAGUUGACAUGGGAAAUGAGAAGUGCCAAUUAGAUUAACAGAAAACAUGACGAAGCCAAUAAUCCAGUACAUACAUAACAGCUGUUUGGUACAGCUAAUGUACAAAAGAUACCUAGAGAUUACAUCAUUCAUAGGGUAAAUAUGCUAACAUUUAUCUUGAGCUGUUUGAAGCACUCAAGCUGGAAACUUGCCAUAGUAUGGCACGUAGAGUUUACUACGAUACACGUAACUGAACCCUGAAAUCUUUAGAAUCUCCGAGCUUUUCCCAGUACCGAUGCUAAAUGAGAUCAGCUUAUGAUCAAUUCUGUCAAUAAGGAUAACUAGCUCUCUCUCCAAGUCAAAAUCAUGGAUGUCAUAAUCGAAAUACCAAAAUCCAUUAUGAUCAGUGCGGAGCAACAAGUCCCUCCCAAAUACAUUGUUCAUACUUAGACGAUGCCUCACCACCCAACCGUUGGCGCCUUCCAAACUCCAAAUCCGCACCAUACAACCAUCAAAUUCCUGUUGUGCGUAGCAUAAGACCCCUGAUGAAUGGCAAAGACACCCACUACACCAAGAAAACAUCCCCGGAUCAUUUGGAAAUCCUGGCAGCUGAAUGAUCCUCUGACUAAGCAACUGCGUACAUGGGUCGGGUGCAUCGAUUGCCAGAAGGACAUGCUCCAAUAGAUGACUCACAUACAACACCCCAUUCAUGAAGCGUGAACUACCAUGAAAUCCAGUUUCACUUUUCCAGCGACAACUAGACCAUGUGAAAUUCUCGGAGAAAAAUACCUUAACUUCAGUGAAGUCUUCACCAACCAUGGAAGACUGGCACUGGAAGCUGAAGACAUUGAAGUGUUGAGACCAUGAUGGAUCAAAACACAACACGAUGUCACAAAAAGAGCUUGACGGUCCAGGUUCAGUAUUUGGAAGUGACAUCCACUCUUGAGUUGCCGGAUUGCACACAAUAACGUGGGAUAUAUCUGCAAAAUACAUUCUAAUACCACCAUGAUAACAAAGAAGUAGGCCAUUGCUGCAAUCCAUAAGCUGUAGGUCCUCAUAACAUGGCACAAAGCUAAGUGUUGUGUCAAUUUCUUUGUCACUUGAGGGAAGCCUAACGAGAUCGAUACCAGUGUGGUACUCAGGUAUUUGGUAGAAGAGACCAACGGGAGUUCUUGGGAACUUCUUGCGGUAGUGUGGAUCAGAUGACAAGGCAUGCCAAGACUUGCAGACACAUUUGAAGCGACAAAAGGACUUCAGCGGUACCGAGACAAAAUCUCCACAACCAGGUCAUCAGUUAGCAAAGACAUUGAUACCUCCUGCUUGGGUUACAUAAAAAGAAAGCAAAAAAAAAAUAUGUAAAACUAAGAAACAUAAGAGGCUGUAAAUAUUUAUAGUGACUAACAACUUUAAAAGUAAAUAUGCCCAACAUGUAAGAAAAGCUGAGCCAAAUCAACGCUUUUUUAGAAUAUCUAAUCGUAGAAUGCAAACUCAAAACAUAGGUAUUUUAAUCUAAAUCCUAUUCAAUUAUAACUGUAGGCAGCCAGAGACUGAGGAUGCACAUUCCCCUUUAUCCAUAUUUUUGGGUUAACAUCAGGCUUCACAAAUGAGCGAAACCACAAAACAUAUGCGAUUAUAGCUAUGCCGCAUGGACAGAGAGACAAACAGAGGCGUCACCAUUGCACCCAAAAAAAAAAGACAAAGGAACGCUGCUGUUUCACAAUAAGUCAGCAGUAAUGAUCCAAACCUCAGAUCUAUUCUGCAGUACGUAGACGAGUGGGAAAACGGGAACUCUCCCAGUUCAUACGAGGAGCUGGGGCGACGGCAAGCCAGGACGGCGGAAUGUCCCGGGGGAAGAACCAGGGUCCAUCUGCACGAGCUCAGAUCAGAAACGGCGCCCGAGGAGAAAAGGGGGAAAUGGAAGGGCUGGGGCCAUUGCUGAGGACUCACCGCGCGCUGGUUGCCUCCGGUACUGCACGAGGAGGAAAGCGCGAACGAGGCCGCUGGGGUGGUUUGGCGAGGCGGGGAGCUCGAUGUUGCGGGAAGCAGCGGCCGCGCCGGAAAAUGGGUCUCCGGUGGAAGAGGGGAGCGGCGGCGGUUUUCGACUGAGAGUGAGGCUGCUGGCUGUGGCUAUGGAGAGGCUCGUAUUGGGCCGGGCCGUGUCCCUCGAGCGUGUCUGGAAUUAUUAUUUUUUGACGAAAAACAGCAUUCUGCUGAUUUCAUUCAUUAAGAUAGGAUGAGUCACCCCAAGAGAUACACUUCAAGGUUCACAGAAUGGCUGACAGCCAAAAAGGAGAAGGAAAAGCUAUACAAAUAUACACAUGGAAGGAGGAAAGAAUGCUAUCCUGCGCUAGUCCAUUGAGCUCCUCUGAAUCCAACGAUUCUCCAAGAAUUAAGCUCGUUGAUGAUGCUCUCAGCGACCUUCAAGAAAUGGGUUACCUUAUUAUUGGAUAUACAGUUGUUUCUUUCAUUCCAAACAUGCCAAAACCGCCAUGAUUAGAGAUGAGAGAUCCUUUUCCUGCUUGUACUUAUAUGAGUAACUCAUCUUAGGAAACUAACCGGAGGCGUUUCUCAAAAAAAAAAAAAAACUAACCGUGGGCUAGAAGAAGUGGGUCUAGCGGGUGGCCAGUGGGUUAACUGGGAUAGUCCAUCAAAUUUUGCCGUGUUCCACGGAUUCCCACUAAACACUUUUAAGUGGGAUGGGUUGAUGAGUCCGACCGUAGCCCACUAUACUCCCACCUGCUGCCUGCAGUGCCCACUAGCUAGCUUCGCUGUCACAACCAUGCAACGCUUGUAAGAGCAAGUAUAAUAGUAACCAGUCAGCAGGCUAUAAGCAUUUUCAUGUCAUCAAAAUCAUAGCUGGAAGAGAGAGACACUACACCACGCCACGCCCCACUAUAGCUCACAUGCCGUCUGUUGGUAAAUGUUUAUGUAAGCCAUCAUACAGUGUGUCGGUAAAAAUAUUGACAAUCCGUCUGUUGGUAAACCUUCAUAUAUGAACACAUCGUGUGUCUGUAAAAGUAUAGGCACAUUGUAUGUCAGCAAACACAUAAAGGGAGGCAGAGUAUGUGACGACAAUCACGCAAACUAUCAACACCAUGUAUGUUGGCAAAUAUUUGCGGCCCAAAUGAAAAUGAAGGCGCCGAGUUAAAAGUUAAAUGAAAAUUGAAGCGGGCCUAUUUCGGACGAAAUUUGGCGGGUGCUCUAAGCUUAGAUUUGGCGCUGAGGGUGUGUCUAAAAAUUGAGGUGCUAAAUAUCUCCGCCGCCAAACCAGUGCCCCCAAACCUAGAUCUCACGGAGCCCUCCCAAAUCCUCUUCUCCUCAGGCACACAACCCCGCCGGCGAUGUUCCUCUCCUCCGCUGCCACCUACGUUCAUCUCCGCGACCGCCUCCCUCCAGCCACUGCCACCCUGCGUUGUAUCGCCGGCCCUUGAGUCCUGCCGCACACUCCAUCUCGCCGCUCCACGGGUGCCUUGCGUCUGCCCGUCGCUCCCCAUCCACCUGAAGGCGGCCACCACUGACGAGCCCUCAUCUCUCAAGGCCGCCGCUGCUCCCCAUCUACCUGAAGGCGGCCCAUAGAUUAAAAUAGCCCGUAAAAUAGCCGCAAUAUCUGCGCUAUAGCUGCUCGGGAGCCUCGCCGCUACGCUAUGGCUGCUGCUGCAAAAUCCUUCACAAAUCCCUCUAAAUGGCUCAACAAUGAGCAAAACCCUCUCGAAAUCAUCUCUUCCACCACAAAAAUUUUCGUUAUUUGCCGCGAAUGCCCGCUAUGAUGGCCGCUAUAGCUGCUGGGAGAGGCCGCCGCGAAAUCGUUUCUCCCGCGAUUUUAAUCUAUGAGGCGGCCACCGCUCACGAGCCCUCUUCUCUCAAGGUCACCGCUGCUCCCCAUCCACCUGAAACCCGCGAGCGCUCAUGACCCUCCCCUCUCAAGCCCGAUGCCGUUCACAUCCGUGCUUCUCCCCCAACCAGCUAGAUCCCGACCUCCCCACUAGCGAGCUCCGCCGCCCCUCUGCCAUAUUGCUCCUCCGACCUGCUCCAGCCCACCCCCUCGACCAGCGAGCUCCACCACCGGCCGCUGCUCCUCUGUCGUGCUGCUACGUACUCGGUACUCCGGCCUGCUCCACCGAUUAGUGAGCUCGGCCACUGAACGCAGCUCUUGUGUCGUGUUGCUUCUCUAGCCAAAGGUUUUCUCUCAAUUUUUAUACAUCUAAUCCCCUCCUAUGAUUCUAGCUGAAGCGGCUUGUUGAAUUAUUCUGGAAUCUUUUAUGCGCUUUUCUAUUGAGUGCCUUUGUUUUCAACUAGAAGAUGUGCCUAUGUUUAAUUCUGAAAUCUAAAUGCAAUCUUAUGUUGUUCCAUCGAGAUUUAUUUUCAGAAGGUGUAUAUCUAAUGUUUCUCACUGCAGCUUUAAGCUUCACUGUCAUCUAACUUUGUAUAGUUAAUUUUUGUUGUCUGUCUUUGAACCUAUAAAACUUGGGUGUUCUGUACACUUGUCGUUUCCUACAUGUGUUUCUUGAACAUGUCUAAAUUUUUUAUAAGAAAUGCAGUUCUGAACUCGGUCAAUUGUAGGAUGACUAGACACAUAGUACAUAUGAUUUGAGAUGUAUAUGUAUGCAAUUUCACCCUUUGCUAAAAAACGUGCUAUACAAUGUCAGAUUUUGUGAAGCCACCGUGAGCUAGGGGUUGCACCGCAGGAGCAUAGCCUGUACAAGUACUGAACAUUGAAGAUUGCAUCGCAGCCUGUACGAGUAUGCCUUCCUUGCAAUCUUUGAAGCCUAUUAAAUUCUGAAAUGUUAUUUUUUUUCUAUACAGGUUUAUUUUGUGUAAAGUACUUGUUAAUUGAUGUGUUGAGGGGUGCUCAUAUACUUCCUCAACAACAUGGGAUGCUGAAGAUGUUAGUGGAUUGUGUUGGGCAUUCUAGCUUCUAUAGCUUGGCCACACUUAAGUGUACAGGCUAGACUCUGAUUAUUUCCUUGCAUGUUUGGGUACUGAUACACACAUGAUUCAUUGCCUCAGUAUUGUUCAUCCUCUUUAUUUCAGAUUGUGAAUGAAGAAAGGGCAACGAAGAUAUCUAAGGUUCAGCAUGGUCAGCAAAGUAUGUUUUUAGUCAAAAAUUAUUACCUAUGGUGCAUGGUUUACCUUUUCUUUUACUGAAUGGGUUAAUGGAGUUCACUGAAAACUUGACAUUAUAGCUGGAUGUGACAUAGUCACUUUUUCCUGAAGUAGCAACAAGUGACCUUUUUCUUUGAGUUUCAAUCUUGUGGCCCCUGACAUUAACAAAUAAAUUUAACAGGUUGUUAUUUCUAUACAUGAUAUGCAUUAUUGCUAAAGGUGUAUAUUUAGUCCAUUGGAGGAAGAAUUUCAAUUAUUUCAUUAACAAGAGACCACACUAUCCUUGGCCAGUUUCUUUUGUUGUACUGGGUUAUCCAAAUGGACUCAUGCAGAUGGGAGUGUAAUAGUGUGAUCCUUACUAUUUUGUUGCAUGUUAACCAUUUCUCCUGUUUGAAUGGUUAAUCACUGAUCUCUAGGCAUUGAAUACCAGUGAUCUGAAACCUUAUGAAGCUACAACUUGAGAGUAAUUUAGAUAAGGCCUACUAUCUAGCACACACAUCCCUAGAUAUUGUAGAAAGGGACUGGUUGGGUGUAUCCCCAGCCAUGUGGUUCAGGGAUAUCAUUUGGUUCUUGUUUUGUUGAGAUCAAAGGUAGAGAGGAUAGCCUAGUGUUUUUGUUUGGUUAAAGGGAUAACAAGUGGAUGGGUUAUUGUGAUGAUUUUUUAUGACUUGAUGAGAUUACCUUUUUGCACACAACCAUUAUUUCUGCAAACCAACUAAUUCUCACAUUCAUACAUGAGCUCUCAAGCACAAGAUAGGUCAAUUAGAUACAUGUAUAAGCAUCAAGAAAAUAAAAUUACACACACACACACACACAAAGACAUGCAAGUGUACAUCUGUUAUAUCUCACAUACAUGCACAUGUUUGGCUAAGAAAUAUAUGUGCGUCCAUUUUGUAUAGCGGUCUAUUCAUAAGUGUGCAUUUACAUGCAUCGUGGUCGUCAAGCUCCUAUCCUCUCUUGUGGCCAGAAAGAUGUAUAUCUAUAUGUUAUGAAACCCUGAUAAAAAAAAUGUAGGCUUUUGAAGUUGUGCUCCUUUCAGUGUUCAGUAUAUAGAAACUACAACCUGAACAUGGCUGCCUGUGUGUGUGUGUGGCCGUGCGGCUGUGUGGCUGUGUGCUAUGCAUGCUGCUUACUCAUUCCUAGCUGCUCGCACGCGCUCGUGUGCCUAUGGCCGUUUCUUGCCUGUUGCAUAUUUCUUGGCUGCUGUAACUAAGGUUGUAAGAAACUAAGUAGCCUGUACUCUAUCCUUCCGGCAUUCUGCAUGCUUCUUCUAUUGUGAACUUCGAAUCAUGGACAUCAAUGGCUUAUUACUAUCAUUUUCAUGGUUUCAUGUUGUCAUUUUUUUUGUUAGAUUUGUUAAAAUGCUGCUAAAAUUGAAUCUUAUAUGUCUUUUUCAGAUGAUAACUGAAGAAUGUUGACUCUGUUGUUGAUGCCUGGGCACUAAAUAGUUGUUUACUUUUGGGAACGUGGUAGUACUUGGCAAUAUGCAAAAUGUAUUAUCUUAUUUUGUAAUUCUAUAUGGUGUCAAUCAGAAUUGGAUUUGUGAGAUAUGCCGCAAAUGUAUGAACUUCAUCAGAUUUACAAAUGAUGGUCGAAUUUGGUAUGAGCUGUGUGCUGUGGUGAGAUAUAGAUUUAAUCAUUUCAGUACCAUGCCAAGAAUUUGGUAUCUAUUGUACUGAGUGGACUUGUUUGUUGGUAAGCAAACGACUUACGAAUGCACUUUCUGUCAGCAUGAAAAAUACUUAGUGGCACGUUAUCUGUUGGGAAGCGAAAUGACUUACCAACUCACGAUCUGUUGGCAAGUGAAAGACUUGGCAGCACAUUGCUUGUUGAAGCAAACUAACUUACCAACGCACAGUUUGUCGGUAAGAGAGACACUUAGUUACACACUGUCCGUCGGCAAGUGAUUGACUUGCCAGACGCAUAGGCUGUCGGCAAGAGAGACACUUAGCGACAUACAGUUUGUCAGCAAGUUAACUGUCUGUCGGUAAAUCUGACUCUUGACAGCUCAGAUGCGGACAGACGCGUUCUAACAAUUUGUGUGUCAGUAAAGGUUCAUGCAGACAUAUUGUGUGUCGGGAAAACCCGUUUUUGCCAACACACACGUGUGUUAGCUAUAGUGGGGCGUGGUGUAGUGAGAAAGAAGGGAAAACAAGGCAGCGGGCACUUGAGCUAGCGUCGGCUACAGCGCAAGAAACAAGACAUGCAAGCUGCAUGCAGCCCAGUGAGCACACCCUCCUCUCCUUUCCACCAAUCAGCGUGUGUCGUCUUCCCUUCUUCCACAUGCAAGCACUAAUUACUAGUAGCUAGUUUACAGCCCAUCUAUUAUACUAGCAUGCUAUUACCAAGGCUUCAAAUGACAUGGGAUUGGUGUAUAGCCAGCAACAGGCCUUCUUAUUAAGAGCAUCUACAGCCGGACUCAGCAAAUCCUGCCCCUCAAACGCCCGCGGACGCGCCCGGGCGCGUCCGCGCGCACUAACCGAGCACUCCCUAUAUCUGCGUCUCCACACCCACGUAUCUCAUAUUUCGUCCCCUAUUUUCAUACUAAACCAUGCAACAUUAAUAAAAACUACGUAGAUCAUGAGCGGACAUACAAAUGCACAAUCGGUUCAUCAAAAGAUCACAGCCGGAUCAACGAAAGAUAGCCAAAGUUCACAUAAUACACAUAAUAUGGCGGACGAGUUCAAACUACAACUAAAAACUUGAAAUAAAGACGGAUCUUCACCACUUCCUCACCGGCCCUUUGCCCUUCCGAUCGCCGGCGCAGCUGUAGGAGUGUGCGGAAGGAGGUGGGUCCACGUCGGAGCCGUCAGACCCAUCGGAGGAGGAGGAAUCGAAGAUGACGAUGAAGCCUUGCAAGCGCCGAGCGACGCGAUCUUGCUGGCGCUUGAGCUUGGCCACCCUCGCCGCCUUCUCCGUCGCCUUCGCCGCCUCCCGCUCGGAUUGCUCAAUGCCGAGCCGGAGCUGCUUGGCGUUGAGCCUCCGGAGCCGUCAGGCCAUCGUCUCUGCCUCAGUCAGUGACCGGCGGCACACCCACUCGAAGAGACGGUCCUCCUCGUCAGGCACCCGGCGGCGGCGGGCAGACUGCGCAGACCCGCCCGCCAUCUCCCUAGCCCUCUGCCUCUCGCAGCGGGCCGCUAGUACCUCCGACUCCGGAGUCCGCAUUCGCAGCGUCAGCUGAGCGGGCACUAGAACCCAGCGCUGCCCGCGCGGAGCACCGGCCAGAGGUGGAGGAGGCCGUCGGGCGGGAGGACCAGAUCUGGCAGGCCUCACAGAUCCGAGCGCGGGGUGGGAAGGGCCGGCGCUGGCGCGACGGGCGACAGGGGGCGUCGCACCGAACCCGGAGCUGCCGCCCGUAUCAACCCGCUAGCGCUCGAGCGUGAUACGGAGUGCCAGCUCCUCCUCGUCUCCGGAGCUGCUGUCUGAGUGGCUGUCGGCGCUGGACAUGCUCGCCAGCGCUAGGGAUUUGGCAGAUUGGGGAAAUGGAAGCGUGGCGAAGGGGAGGGGAGGGGAGCGGAGCGGAGCAGAGUGAGCUAGGGUUUCUGGCGAAGGGGGUUUUUGUGGGGUCGGGGUGGGCCAGUGGUGGGCCGGGCUGAUAUGGCGGGCGCACCCAGGCGUGCCCGGACCGCCUCAUAUCCGCCCUACAUUUGGAGCGGAUAUGAAGGGCCGGUCAGCCCGGGCGUUUGAGGCCCGAUCGAAAGCUUCGGUUGGGUCAGUAUUUUGUGACCGGUCAGUGACCGAACUGACUGUCCGAACAUAUGAGAUGGAUAUAGGGCAGCUGGCUGUAGAUGCUCUAACCAUGCUCUUACCGGGAGGAAGGCCAGAGAUAAACACCCAUGGCUAGAAAUGGGACCAAGACCAAAGAUAAAAACAAAAGGAAGAGACACAGUUAGCUCGGGACAGAAUGCCUAGCCAACAAGUUUAGCAAGUGCACGAAUGAAAGAAAAAGGGGACUAACCGAAGAUCUAAAUUCAGACACGAGACCCAUAGCCCGCCCACACAUUCAAGGCCUCAAAAGUCAAAGGACCCUUAAAAAAACUAUUCACGUAUCACUCGAGUACUUGCUAAAAAAAACCGUAUCACUCGAGUAAGUCCACCGCUCAGAAACUCAAGAUGGACAAAUCAGUUUUGAUAAAAUGUUUUCAGUAUUCCCUCCAAUCCAAAUCAAUUAACGCAGAUUUAAUACAAUUUUAAUUUGGAUCAAAGGGAGUAGCUAUGGAUGUUACAAACUUGCAUCAAACAUUUGUUCGUGGAGCACCAACGGCACAUCAUAGAUAGAUAGAUAGAUAGACAAGUACCCUCCAAUCCAUACAAAAUUAUACUCCCUCCGUUUCUUUAGUCUGCAUAUAAGGUUUGGUCAAAGUCAAGCUUUUUAAAGUUUGACUAACUUUAUAUUAAAAAAUAUAACCAUUGACAAUAUGAAAUCAACAUUAUUAGAUGCACCACAAAAUGUAUUUUCAUACUAUAUAGUUUUAAUAUUGUAGAUGUUCAUAUUUUUAUAUAUAAGUUUGGUCAAACUUUGUGUAGUUUGUCUUUGACCAAAUCUUAUAUGCGGAGUAAAAAAAAACCGGAGGGAGUACUAAAGUUAUGCCAAUUAAUUUGAAUCGGAGAGAGUAGCUAUGGAUGUUACAAACUUGCAUCAAACAUUUUCCGCGCACCAGCACAUCACAAAUAGAUGGAUGGACAACGCUGUCAUAAAAGGCGAGUGGGCGCAUCGGUGCCGGUUGCGAACAUCCGAAAAUGCUUGUGUGGCGACAACGGAGGUGGAGGGUGCGGAUGCAAAGUAAGGGGAAGAAGUGGCGGUGAAAGAAAAUGAGACCGGGAGGGCGGAUUUAGUGGGUCCGGGGUGUCAGAGUCUAACAUGGCUGCUGUCCGGACUAUCGCAACCCCCUCCACCCACUUUGUAUCCACUUUGCGGGAGAAAGUGCUUCCAGACCGAGCGGACCGAUACAUGACCGUGUUGGAUGGAUUCUAUGGUCCGGAUCGCGCGGUCCAGACGUAUACGGAUGGUUUGAGGGUCGGCGUUGGAGAUGCCUUACAAACCUGCAUCAAACAUUUUCCGCGCACCACCAGUGGCACAUAACAAAUAGAUAGAUAGAUAGACAAGUAUUCCCUCCAAUCCAUACAAAAUUGUUCUGAAGUUGCGUUAAUUAAUUUGGAUCGGUUGAAGUAGCUAUGGAUGUUAAAACUUGCAUCAAACAUUUUCCGCGCGCCACCAGCAGCACAUCACAAAUAGAUAGAUAGACAGAUUAGAUAGGUAGUUUCAGUAACCCGCAAAAAAAAAAAAGGAUAGGUAGUUUCAGGAAAUGGCAAGCAAAGCAACCAAAGCAAUAGGCAUGAUUCUUCAGACGUUCUCAGUCCCUGUCAGCAGGUUGGGUUUCUUGCGAGCCAGCACGAAGAACAUGGGCGUGAAGAUCCCUUCCCUGCAAAACCAAAAUCACGCGCACGCACUCGCAUCAUGCUCCCUUCUAAUAUGUCCGUGCGUUCGCACUCAUCUGGUUUCUGAAUUCUGUAGUAAACAUCGACGUGCUCCUAAUUACCUGCCUCCCUUGACGAGGCCCUCGCCGGCGGUCUCCAUGAGGCCGGAGACCCUGACGCUCCCCUCCGGCGCGACGCCGAGGCGCUCCAUGGCCUUCACCAUGGCGCGGGUGACGAGGCGCCCGACGCGGCUGAGCCGGAAGCCGUUGGCGCUCGUCCACGACGCGCCGGCGUCCGGGGUCCAGAGGCUGGUACCACGGCACCGCAGAGUCCUCCGCGACGUCCUUGGCAGAGAUCACCUUCAAACAACGCCCAGCUUCAUGAGUUGUGAUUCUUCUCUGAAGCCUAUGCACGUAGACGUAGUGGAUGGCCCAAGCGAGUGUGUGACUGACUGACUGACAGAUGCUCCUACCUCGAAGCCGGCGUCCUUGACGGCCUGGAGGCACUGCGCGGUGGUGCGGAUGUCGAUGAGGCCGUUGCCGAGCUCGAUCUCGGCCUUGGCGGCCACGUGCCGUGGGUUCCCCGGGUCGAACCGCUCCGUCAUGCACCACUCGUAGAACGCCAUGGGCUGCCCGGGUCGCAGCACACGGUGGAUCUCCAUGUAGCACCCGACCUGCCAUGGACUCGUACAUACCGUCAAGGAGAUGAAAUAAAGUUGGCUCUGACAGUCUUGGACAUGAAAGUAUUGUACCGCGUCAGGUGCGUGGCAUGUGGCCUCGAUGGCGUACGCCGCGUCGAAUGUGUCGUCGGGGAACGGCAUGUGCAUGAAGUCCCCCUAGAGUUAGACGAACGGAAUUACCAAAACAAACAGCUUAUCAAGACAUUUUUCCUUGCUGCUAGCUCUUCAUCAGUUAAUUCACUUUCAAAAUGCUCCGUGUGUGUACCUUGACAAAGUUGCAUCGUUUACUCAGGCCGGCUAAAUCGAUGAGCUCCUGCGAGUGUCCCGCACAAAGUUUUCUUUUUUCAGAAACAAACGCAUAUAUGCAAAUUCAUGCUUGAUUUGAGCAUUGUAAAUGCGUGUAGGAGAGAGACCUGGCCCCUUGUGAUCUGGUACUCAUUGUUGUUCAAACCCGUCACCGACGCGGAGCUACACACCCACAAAGCAGAAAUUCACGCAGGUUGUGUGACUGAAAAUCUGGGCACAACACUUAGGUACGUUUUGGAUCAUCCAUCGACACGUACCUGAAUCUCGCGAUCUCUCUGAGAGGCCCUCCGAUGCCGCAUCCCACGUCCAACACUUUCAUCCCAUCAGUGAGGCCAAGUUGCAAGGCUAUGAAAUGCUCAUACCGCUUGAUGCUCUCACGCAAAGUCUCUCCUUCCCAUCUAAACAACAAAACCUAGACAGGUUAAGUUUGGCAUUGAGUAAGACAAACUUCUCAUUAGUGAAAAUGUAUAUGUGGGGAAUUUUGAGGUCUCGUAUAACCUGUUUGCGAAAUGGAACGACUCGCCCCAUCCGUACUCGUAGAAGCUGGUGACAAGGUCAUAGUACUUGUUGGCCUGCAUGCAUGCAUGCAUAUCCAUGACGAUACAAUAGCUAGCAACUCAUCACUUCUUACAUGAUAUUUGUGUACCGUUUUGAGUGAGAGGAGGAUACAGAGAGAAGCUUUAGUACGUAGUACGUACCACAUCAGCAUAGUUGGAUGCCCUCGAUUUGGCUUCGCCUCCGUGAAGGUCAUGGUACUUCUCGUACCUGUCCGGUUUGCAAUCACCAAGUUAAUAUACUCCCUCCGAUCCAUAUUAAUUGUUGCUAUUUAGUAUAUACAAGAGAGUAACAUUUUCAACGCUGCGGCCUACAAGUACAAUUAGAACAAGAUGGUGCCGAACGUACUGUUCCACCGACGACUUGACUUGCUCCUUGCCGAUCAGCCCUCCCAGGCCCGAAGCCAGAUGCAGAGCGCCUGUCCUCGACAUGCUCACUGCACAAUCUGAUCGUCAGGAACUAACAUAUACGGAGUAGAUCAGAUUGAAAAAGAAAGUUCGUAGUACUACCGGUUUUGGGGAUAGGGGAGAGAGACCUGAAUUGGUGUCCUUGCUACUGAUUGUUGUAGAGUAUGUAGAGACGAGAGAGCAAGCUGCUUUGGCUUUGUGGAGCAAGCAUACAUGUACCUAUAUAUAUACCAGUCCUAGGUAGCGACGAAGGCAUAGGAUUUCUACUAAGGCCUUGUUUGUUUGGGCUUUUGCUUUUGUUUUUGCAGCUUUUUUACUUUGGUCAAAAGGCCAUAAAAGCUCCUAAAUAGAUGCUUUUAGAGUUUUUAUGACUCUUUGAUGAAAGUAGAAAAGCUGCAAAAGUAGAAGCAAAAGCCUAACAAACAGGGCCUAAAGAAGUUCUGUCAGAAGACCGGAGUUGGAUUCUGACUUGAAGCUUCUUCGGCUCUGGUGUGCGGCGAUCUAGCUUACUAACUACUCUAUACACAUGCACUUCUUGUCACUUUUCUCGGUAUUCUUUGUCUCCAAGCAGGAUCGGCGCUCCAUGGCCCGGAGCAAGAGGGCAGGGGGGCCGUCCUCGGUAGCAGCUGGUUGUAAACUGUGCAAUGAUGUUUGACGGUUUUCCAAGGAGGUGUGUUUUCAUUUCUUGUCAGUAGUCUAGGUCGCUUUUGUGUUAGGAUGUGCUACUCAUGUACUCUUGUCUUUCUUUGAUCCGCUUUGUAAGAGGGUCGCUUCAUCGCCUCCUAUCAGUUUGGCUGUGCUGCUUUAUAUAUAAACCGGGCCAAAAGCCUUUUUCGAAAAACAAAAAGCACACGGCUUCCUGUAGCCUGAGAAGAAGAAAAUUAAGGCAAGGUAAUGGAAUAACAUAAAGAAAUAAAUAAAAAAGUCAAAGUUUUGCUUAUUUUAGCUGAACUAACCUGAAGAAAAAUAGGCAAAAUGGUGCCAAAAUAUGACAAGCUGACAGCAAUACGAAUUUUUGUAAGACGCUUGAUACUUACAAAAAAAUUAAAAUAGAGAUUGUCAUGAAAAAUAAGAAAAUUGAAGACAACAGGAAAUUUUAAAACCAAAUCGCCACUCCUCUGACAUAACUUCUUUAUUAGAAAUAUCUUUGCCAGAAAGGUUAGCGAGAACAUGGAUACGUAUUUUACAUAGACAAGUUAAAUAAAGUCAGUUUGUUGAAUUCAAUGUGUUUCCUAAUUAUUUCUAUUUUUUGGUAUUUUCAAAAUUCUGGUAAUCUUUAGAACUAUUGUUUAGUGGGUUAUCCUAUCCCCCCUUAAACACUAUUUUGACGUCUCCCAUUUUCGUAAUUAUGUCAAAUUUUUGUAUUGGUUAGGCUAGCAGGUGUAAGAAAGUGCCGAUAAACAUGUACAUGCAGUAUUUCUUUCUUUUUAUUUGUGAUGAUGAAAUGCAGCAUUUCUUACGGUUUUUUUGAGGAAUUCUUAAUUCAUUUAUAUACACAAGGCAGUCUUUGCUUUGGAGAUUGAAUCCAGACAGCAUGGGGAUACAUGAUGUGCUGUUGGUGGGUACUAGAUAGUCUUUCAUACAUCGGUCCAUCCAUCCUAGGCGCUCUCAGAGUCAGUCGGCCGCCGGUUGGUUGAUCCGAGGAGAGGACGGAUCCGCCAUCGCGCGCCCAUCACGCUGCUAAUCCAUUUUCUAUACGACGGAUGGCAAGGGGGGCUGGCUAUCCGAUCUGAUAACACUUGGAUCCCAUGGACUUGAGGGAGCCGGAUCGUCUGACAUACUGCACCCCUGACACGGGGCUACUGACGUGUGGGCCCGGCUCCACCUAUCAGUGUGCCAACGGCACGUUAGGGGAGCCGCGUCCGGACUUGAGUAGCCCAAUACCCUGCUGCACUAAAUGACAGCACCAGCUAGGCUAUGCUUUGAAGUGAAGUGACUCGAUUUCUGCUUCCUCCCUUUCUCACAGACUGACUCGCCCCGUUUAGGUCUUUCUUUACCGUGAGUUGGUUUGAUACUAUUCCUCCGAUCCAUAUUAAUUGACUUGUUUUUGCGAGACGAUCUAUAUUAAUUGACGAUGCUUUAGUAUAAAGUAUUUUUUUUUGUCGCUCUCCCGGGUGACACGGUGAACCCUAACCGCCGCACCUCGCAGCUUUCCCUCUCUUCCUCAAUCCCUCACUGCCAUCGGAGGAUGCGGCAUGGGCUUAAUCGCCGCCAUUGGAGGAUGCGGCCGGGCUAAGCCCGUGCCGCGGACGGCGGCGCGCGGCGCCUUUCCCCAGUGGUUCUCGGCCGUUGCAGCGGCGGUUCCCAUCGCCAGAGUCCUCCGUUGAGAUGUGCAUCACGGGCGCUGUAGUGGUCCAUGAGUUGGGGCCCGAUCCCGGCAUCCAUGCUGGUCCCGUUGGCAAUCGACCCCUCCUCAUGGCAUGGGCAGCAUGUCUCCUAUGAUCUGAAAGUCCAAAUCCGGCAUGCACCGGACCCUCGGCCAGGCCUAAUGCUGACUCUCUCCUGCGUCUGCUUGUGACGUGCCCCAGCGACUCCACUCAGCAUGGUGGCGUCCCAGCGGCGGCCAGUAACAAACUGGUCUGGAUCUGAUGGGCGCGGGACCCUCGACCGACAGGCCUGUUGUGAGCCCUCUCUGCAGCGAGGAUGAUGGCGUGGGUGGCACUACAUGCGGGUCAGCCGGCCUAUGUGUUUGGGAGGUGAGACGGACGGCGAAAGUAGGGCUCGGAUGCGGUCCGGACCAUUACCGUGGCGUCUAUGGGCGUCGUUACCUUGUUGAAGGCGUCAAUGAGGUCGUUCUCUUCUUCCAACAUGUAUUUCUCCAGGGGAAUCCUUGGGUCCGGUGCUCUCGGACCGGACGCUAACGGCACUCUUGUGUUGUGACUCUCUUGAGGGCAUCGUUUUGGAGAUGGUUUGGCUGAUGAGACCAGUAGUAUGCACCGUUGUUGUAGCUUCUUUGUCUCUCUGGUGCCUAGAUGUGGGUGGAUGAGGCGUGGAGGCAAUGGCAGGAAUUAGUGAUCUUCCGCGACGGUGUUACAUGGCGUAGUGGAGAUGGUGCGCGACGGCAGUGCUGUUGAGGCUGGAGGUGCAGAUGGUCAGGCCAUGAUGGAGCUUAUGGAGGCAUGUUGCAGCCAUGGCGGUGCAGUGUCAGUUCAUGGUCUAUUGUUUAGGGGCCAAUGGCCAUACCCAGAUUAUACCAUUGAUGUACAUUUGCGACGUAGGACUAGGACCGUCAAAGCGUCCCCAAUAUGGGAUUUUGGCGGUGGCAACGUCUUUCAACAGUUGAUCUGCGACCUGCGCCACACGAGUGUCAUUGGUUCUUGACUCUAUACACUACUUUUGGCAGUUGUCCAAAGUCCGGAUCAUGGACGUACACAUCAUCCUCGUUUUCGUCAGUUGUUGCUCGAUGUGGAUCACUGUUACUCUAUUUAUUUUCUUCUUUUUUCGCCUCCUAAACAUAGCUUCGGUUUUGUAAGACUUUGCUAUUAGGCGGCGUAUUUCUUUGUGUGUGUUCAUUGACUUUGGCUGUGUGCAUCUUUGCUAUGCAAAGGCCGGGUAUUAUUCAUUGUGUUUUGUAUCCUCUUGAUGCUACGUUAUGAGUCAAUAAAAACGCCCUUUAUCUAAAAAACAAAGUAUAUUUUACUAAAACGUCAUCAAUUAAUACAGACCGGAUGGAGUAGUAAUUUUCAUGGCCAAAAUGUUACUACUAGUAGUACCCUAGCGGCCCACAGUGCCGCCCGAGUAUCAGCUUCAGGCGCAGCACUGCCGCAGAAUGCUCCGUUUGGAUUGGAUGAUUGGUGAAAUCGACACACACACACACACACACACACACACAUACAGUCUUUCAUUCCUACAACUUUCUUUCAGGUGCAGCCCUAACUCGCCUCUCUAGGAACCUCUUUGCUUCUUUGGACCCAGCGAGGCUCCACCCUCUCCGUCCGCCGCUGCCGUUGGAGGAGGGGGGGUGGGCUCCUGCUUCUCUUUCAGCUGGUCUGUAGAUUUAGGGUCUCGUCUUUGUCUAAUAAGUAGUAACCCAGUUUGGUGAGGUUGGUGCUUCGUCGACUAAGAUGGUUCGGUCUCUCCUCACCACCACAACGUUCUAUCCAGCAGCACCAUUGAGCUGAUGACCUCGUUUGCUCGCCAUUCUAAUCACCCCAGCUCGUCAUUGGACCCCUUCGCUCACUCGAAUGGCGGUUAUUUCUGAAGUGGCCCGCUCAGAAAAAUGGGCCCAAAGCCCAAGCCAAUGAGUCUUCAUACCAGUAGCACGCGCGCACGCAGGGUCGCCACUUGUGGCUUAUUUCCCCUAAUGACUCCCUUUGUAUCCCUUUGAUUAUUGUUCCAAAUUGAUAAAGUAUGGGUACAUCAUAUAUACCUCAUGCAUUCCUUAGCAGCCUCAAGAGUGUACCAAAGAGCCUCAUAGAUUGAUGAUUACUUGUUGGUUGUCGACAUCUUUCCAGCAAAAAAAUAUGAUUUGGAUUACGACAAGAUGAUCCAUUGCCCCUGAAUGCAGCAGCACAAAAUGGCCUUCUUGGUUGAUAACUAUUUGCUGGUAGUUGGGUUCUUCUCCUUGAGGUACGGAGCGCUUCAUCAAACUCAGCUGCUGGUGCAUAGGAUGGAUACAACCUCAUCAGACAUCGGGCUCCUAGUACGGAUCGCCAUUGUGGGAAGAACAUUCUCCUCGUGUAUUCUGGAUCCCAUCCUCUAGUUAUCUUUUUCAUCGCAACCUGUCUCGUAAUUCAGUAAGAUUUAAACAUCAUAAGAAACAAAAGACAUCCCAAUAUCAACAUGACCAGGCAGGAGUACUCAACUAACAACAAAUGUGGUAUGAAUGAAAAAUGUGAUAUGCUGCUCACAGUUAGGGUAGUUGCAUUACAUUUGGUAUUACUUAUGCGACUCACAAUAAUGCUUUUUCGUACUGGUUGAAUGCAAUGCUUAUAGAGAUUAUACCACUUCACAAUUUUCUCGUCAGAACCUUUCUCCCAAGCAGCAAAAAAAGUGAAAUACGAUUAUGUAAAAUAUAAAUGUUUUCAGAAAAGCGAAAACUAGGGAUGUGAACUACCUUCGAUACUGCUGUUGAAUGUUAUCCCUUUAUGCUGCGGUACCAUGGAUACUGUUUAUGUGAACAGCAGCCACGUAAGAAGUCACUUAACAAAACUAACGAAAAGUAAACAUAGAAAUGACCCAGUAAUAACAUUUAAACAUCUUUACCUCUCCCUCUGCACCAUGAGCAGUCGCUGCGAUUGCCUUGGUUGCCUCUGCAUGCACCAGUUCGCAAGAAACAAAAUAAGGGCUCAUUGUGAAAACCGUAAGGAACUAAUUAAACAAGUAACACAAACCUUUAUCAUUUAACUGUUUGUCGGAUAUUUUGCAGUCAUAGGGGCGGCUUCAAGAACAAGAGCAAGAACAAUUACAUAAUCAAGAAAACUAAAAUGCAAAAUCAUUACAUUUGAAGUAGUGCAGAAAGGGCGUUAUAGGUUUCUAACGUCAAUGCCUUCUCCGGCAGGGCGAAACCCAAAAUCCUUGAGAAUAGAUGAAACAUGCUCAAGGACUUCCACAUGGGAAACCUGCAUGACAUUUAUGCCAUUUUAUUAGAUAUCAAAAAAGGAAAUAGAAGAAUUCAAAAUACAUAUAAGAUAGAUUCAUACAAUAUAUCCCACAGCACAAUCAUUCACCAUAAAACCAAAGGUUUCGAAGAGAUAGUGAAAAGAAUUAUUAGAAAUAAAAAUUUUGCGUAUGGCUUGGUAGGCAAUAGGACAUUUUGCAAACACACAUUGAAUGGAAGUGUAUACGAUUUUGUUCAUGAGUAUGAAUCAUGAAAUACAAUGCACUCAUGUAUUUUUAACUCAAACAAAAUUUCCAUAUAUGUUUGUCAUAAGGAUUUACCGAAAAAAUAUUAUCUCUUCGAUCCAUAUAUGGAUCCUAGGGUGCAUUCCUUUUUCCUUGAUCAAUGCGAGAAUUACCAACGACUCUUAACGGACAGGCAGGACAGAACCCGGACAAAGAAACACCACUCAAAUGGACCCCCCAUAUGGAGCCCAAAUAUCCAGGCUGCCCGACACCCCUCAAACCCGCACCAUAUGUGCUGCGGAUUUGGGGCUGCCCAGACACGCCAUACGCAUCCGCCACGUCGGACCGACCCAUCCCGACCGCACGAAAUCCAUCCUAGUCCCCGCCCCGGACACAACCUUGGCCAUUUCGAACACUCCACUAUGCUUCCGCUCUGCUCCGCCCUACUUCUCUCCGGUCAUCUCAGACCAUCUCCGGGCAUGGCGACAGGUGGAUCUUAGUCCGCCGGGUCUGGACCCAACAACGGUGUCGGUUGGGAGCUCGCUGCCUGCUCCAGCGAGGAGGAGAAAAAUGCCGGCUCGUGCUCCAUCGAUCUCGAGUCACAACCUGAGCUCCUCCGUUGGAGCCGCCCUGAUGCGGCAGUUGCGGCUGCUGCUCUGAGUCAAGAUAGGUUGUGACCGCCAUGUGAAGGCAAAGGCACACCGCGGCUCCUGCUCGUCCGCCGCGCCCGCUACGGUGCAGAUGCCGUCUGGAUCCGACAAGGACCAGUUCGUCCAUGUCGUCAAGCCCUGACUUCCAAAGAGUCGGACGUGUGCCACCACCAGAUCAACGCCAAGAUCCUCGCAGAGUCGCGCCGUUUCGUGGAGGAGGCAGAGGAAGCCUAUGCCCCAAUCCUCACAAAGCGGCAAGCACCAGCGGCCACCCGGGCUCUCGUGAAGGAGCAAACCCGGGACGUUCGUGUCCUCACCGGCCUGCCCUCGAAAUCAUACAUUAACAUGUUUGGUACCACUACCGACACAUCCAGCUCAGCGGCAAGCAUAUCCGCCUCGACCCCUAUGACGGUUUCGGCCGCUACUUCCACGACAAAGACGACGAGAGCAAGGGCAAGGGUAGGCGUUGGUGAACUUCCCCUAUCUAUAGCCCUACUUUACUUUAUGCUAUGUACGAUGAACUAGUAGAACAUGCCAUCAUUUUGGUCGUAUGAUGGUAUGUAUGAUGAACUCUCCUAUGCUAUGUCCUAGAACUGCUAUGCCCAGACUACGUAUCAACUAUGUGCUAUGAAAUCAGAGUACGUGUUUUGGUCGAUGUUGCAUGCUUGUAUAUGGAUUUGAGUGUCCAGAUGCAUCCGUGGACAUAUAAGGGGCCAAAUUAGCUAUGUGUGGUUGGAGACGCUCUUAGUGAAAGGAACUAAGGAAGAGACCAGAGGCUGUGUUAACUGACUCACUGCAAUAUACAAGUUGUCGUACCUCAGAGUGAUGUUGAAUGUACGCAUCAAGAACUUCGCCAGCACGAGAAAUGAUACGAACAAGCAAAUAUGUACAUUUUAAUGUUGCCAUUUCCUCCGGCUGCACGUGUUCAUAGUGCUCCAGUACUAUACGAUCCAUGAUAACUUCAAGCCCAUUUUGAUUGCCAUUGACACUUCUCUCGGAGGAACGGCUCCCGCGGAUCUGCCCUUGAGCUGCCAGGAGUAAAACUGCAGUCUCUACAGGCCUUUUUUUCCUUUGUGUACAUCCAGAGCUCAUCCACUAGAUUAUUUGUUUGUCUGGCAAGCAGUCUAAUCGUAUCCAAGAAGAUCUUCUGUUAAAAAACACCAAGGAACAAAAUAUGAGUGCCUUUUUUUUUAAAAAAAAAGGAGGCUGGCAGCCGGCUUUAAAUUAAUGAAGCUCUUACAACCAACAGUACAACUCAACGCAACCCGAACAAUACGGAAACAAACAAAAACAAAAACUCCGGCAAGAUACAAGGGUGCCCAGAAGCAGCAGCUAAGUCCAAAAAACAAAGUCCAAGGACUCUCGAACAUGAUCGAAGAAUCGACGCUGCGCAGAAGGCCACCUCGCGAACGAGACCAGCCUUCGACAGGAGCUAUGUCUUCGCCAUCACCUGGACGUCCGGCACAACAAUGCCAACUUGUUCCAUCACGGAAGGAUCCCCCUGCUCCUCACCCUGGCUCGUAGGGCGCCGCACCGUAGGAUGAUGGAAUGCUCAACUCCCUAGAGCGCAAUUGGACACUGCCGCCAAGACCCGAAAGGGAGGCCUUCGAACACACCACCUCGCCAGACCUAGCUCUUCGAAAGAGCACCAUCGUUGAAGCAUGGAACCAUCACAUGAAGAGAAGCAGCUGCCAUCCACGAACCCACUCGGCGGCCAAAAAUGGAACCUUGCUCAUGAAACGGAGCCUCCAAGGAGGGAACGACACCACAACGUCACCACCGUCCGGUCUAGAUCAUGCCAGACCACGGUUUUCACCCAGAGCCCAAGGUGGACGGAGGCCACCCACGAUGACACCUCCAGGAAGGGAAACGGCACACAGGAGCGUCGCUAUCACCGGCACCGACAAAAUCGGCCAGAGCUUUCGCUCGGUAUGUGACCCCCAUCACCCAAGUCCAUCCGCCAUGGCCGACCAACGGAGAGAUGCAGACGAUGACCGAAUCAGAGCAGGGUAGAAGCGAAGACCACACCCGCACAACGGACGCCUCCCGAGUGAGCCACCUCGCUGCCCACACAGCCGAGGGAACACACGAGCACCCGCGCAACGGCGCCUGCCGGAAUGGUGCCACCACGCCCACCAUCCGGAGCCGCUGCUCCGGCAACCGAAGAGAUCCACCCUCACCCACCACCCACCGGGCGCUGAACCGCAAGCACGCAGCAGGCCACCCCAGCUGCCGCACUAGCUCAACUCCGGCACCCGCUGCCACCCAAAGUUUACACCUUGCCCACACGGAGACGAAUCCUCGCCGAGAUCCUUGCUGCAGGGCGCCCAAAAGGAGCUGCCGCAAGGGCCAGCACCGACGAGGGGAGGGCCAUGCCCAUGGAAAUCACCGAGGCCUGCCAGAUCCAGCGACGGCCGUGAACCCCAUCCACAACCGCUGGCUCCCAUGCGAGGAACCGCACCACCAGGCCUCGAUAGCAGCAGCCCGCACCACCCCCGCGCCCGCCACUGGCCGCACCGCGCAGGCAAGCCCACGGACGGCGGGGAGGAGGGAUUUCCAGAUUUGGGGCGAGGUUUCGAUGCGAGGAAAGGAGCACUCCAGGGAGGAGGGGAGCGAAGAAGGAGGAGGCGCCCCGCCGCUGCCGCGGGCCGGCCGGAGGCCGCUGGCGGCGGCGGCGAGGGGGACGAGCGCGGAGGAGGGGCUGUUGAGGCAGCGGCGGCGUUCGCCUCGUGAGAGCGGAGCCAAAUCUACCGGUCCAUCAUAUGAGUGCCUUUUAACAUCUGCAUGCAAGCAAGUAAUGCUGAAUAGUACUUCCUGUUUUAUUGCUUCAUUUUAUCCGAACACAGCAAGCAUGGAUACUCAUUGUCUCUGCAUAGAAAAUAAUAACAUGCCAAAUACAUAAACACUUUCAGAAGACAAGCAUGAUUAGUAUUCCAUCUAUUUCUUAAAAACAACCCAUCUCUGACAAGUGGAGAUUAAAGCACACUCCUUCGGUAUGAUAUACGAGCAUGCAGCUACAAAUUGGGGGUCAUCUCUGAGCCAAAGAAAAUCAAAUUAGCUAAUGACAAUUUGAAACUGCUGACUCCAUGUCACAAAAAUAAGGUUAAGAACUUACAACACAAGAACACAAACCGCAGGUAAAAUAGGAAUUAUAUCAUUGACAAGAGGAGAUGUAAGGAUGCUCAGUCCCUGGGUAUUGGUAUACCAGUUGUAUGCGAUAUAUGGCAUGGCCACAAUACUUUAAAAUUUUCAUGGUGCAAAAAGUAGUACUUUGUGUAGAGAGGGGAAUGACACAAACCAUCUCAGGUAGGCACAGCAAAUGGAUGAGGUUGUAGGUAUAAUCCUCAUAGUCCUGGCUAGAAGAAAGAUUGUCCUCCAAAUACUUAUGCAGGCAAGCAUUUUCAACCGCAACAUGGAGGGGGAGUAGACCCUCUAUGACUUUAUUGCCAACUGUGCGCACAUUGGCUGAUGCACCGUGGCCAAACAGCAACUUGACCAUGCCAACAGAGAACCUUUCAGCAGCUUCAUGGAAGGGGAAGUAUUCAUAUUGGUUGAUGUAGUUGGGAUUAGCAUGCAUCCCAUUGAGUUCAGGAGCCUUGCCCUUCAAUACAUCGCAAGGCGUUAUGAAUGACCACAUAGGUCAAGGUUUCCGCGGUGAUAGUCAGAUUCCAUUGCAUGCACGCCACACUCUCAAAAAGGCGUAGGAAGUGCCGGACACUGUCCUUUUCCAAGGCACGCUCCAAGCGGGGAGCUAUCUCGUCGAAGGCAUCCCGCACCCACUGGAUGGGUCCAUCCACAAUUGCAAAGGGUGGAAGAUAAUCAACCAUCCAACUAAAAAAGCAAAUAGUAUAAACAAAGUAUUGCCGAGGGCAUUUGACUAACAAGAACAUAUAUUGUUUCAGCAGACAAUUUCAGUAAUCUAAAACUCUGCAGGACUAAAAAGAAAGAAUAUGGAAUGAUUUUUCAUUUGAGAUUUUGUAAAUGAAGAUAACAAGAUACCUUGGGUGUAGGGUCUGGGAUGAUUAUAUCGUUUGGUUUGGACUUGGCGAGCCGUGCUGAUCUUAAACGAUUCCACUGGAAGAGAUAGUGUCAAGAGUCAGGAGCCAGUACAAAAAGGGAGAUAAUUAACUGAAGUCGAGAGGAAGAUCAUAAAAUUAACAGUUACCACACCUCAUGGAUCUUAUCGAGAUCCAUUUUUUUGAGAACCAGAUAAGGACGGAAGGAUCCAUAUUAUCUUUGGUUGCACCUUCUUCACCUUCAUCAUAAUCAUCUCUAUGAUAAGCAAUGACCAUAUCCUCCUUUUUCCCCAAUGCAGUAGAACUGGCCCCAACCAUUGGUUGUUUGUCCGAAACAGGGGGAUUUUAUCUUGAUAUUUACAUUCAAAAAAAAAUAUAAUUUUCAGUUAUUAGUGCAACAAUCCUGAAGACCAGGAGGAAACCUAAGUUCCAAAGUUCACAUAUUGGAAUGUUGACAACAAUCCUGAAGACCAGGAAGAAAUCUAAGUUCCAAAGGCUGUAAUUACAUACAAAAGGUUGUAAAACAACAAUCAUGAAGACCAGGAAAGAUAAAAUCUAAGAUCCAAGUUCAUAUUGGAAAUUUCGACACGACGGAAUAACUUUGAGGAAGCAUUCCUAAACAAUUUUGUAGAAAAGAAAAGAAAAUAGGGCAAUCACUAGCAUGCGCGCCAAAAAAAUCACAAAAAUUGCAUACUUACCACAGUCAGGUUCCGACAUGAAUGAAACUUUCUUCUGGGCGCGGGAUCCUAAUGACUUGUUAGCGGCGUUGAGCGAUUGAGCCAACUGCUGAUGCGUCAAUGCCAAAUCAACAAGAUCACAUUAGAAACAGCGCCCGAGAGGAAAAAGAAACGCCGAUGCCACCUGAGGACUCGCCGCUGGUUGCUUCCGGUCUUGGGCGAGGCUGCGGAGAUGGGUGCGCGAGACGGCGGAAAGCAGCGGCCGCACCGGAGAAUGGGGUCCCUGGUGGAAGAGCGGGACGGCGGCGGUUUUGGACUGAGGCUCAUAGGGGUUAUGGGCUUUAUAUCUAUCGAGAGGCUCGUACUGGGCUGGGCCUUGUUAUUGGAGCGUGCCUGGAACAGAAGAAAAACGAGCGUGCUUUUUUUUCACGGAAGAAGUCCAAUUUUCGACAUUAUUUGACACUGGCUUUGGAUUUCGUAUGUGAUUAAGACUGGUUUACAGUGUUCAUUUGUCCAUGGCAUCACUGUGGUGUGUAAGGCUAUGAAUCAGUCUCUGUUUUUCCUAUCUUGAGAAUCGAUAUUGUCAUUUGUCUUAGAACUUUUGGGCGUUCCGUUCAAUUAUAUACCGUCUCGGGCAUGACAAGUUCAGGAUCAGGAGGAUGAACUUGAACACCCAUGGGCAUCACACAUGCUGUCAAUGCUGCUGGGGGUCUCUUCUUCUAAGCAGUUUGUAUACUUUAUCAAAAUCUUCUAAGCCUUGUGCCUUUUAUCUAAAAAAAACUUCUGAGCGGCAAGCAGAACUGAAACCGCCACAGUGUUACUACUUCUUCCCACUGAAAUGCCACCCCCCUCCCCCCAAUCCGCAAGUGUUAUGUAGUGCAGUGGGCAGCAUUGAAGCAGUCACAGCUUCACACCAUCAUUUCUGAAUAUCUGCAUGCAUCAGGAGGAUGAACUGACCAAGUAGUUCCACACACAGGUGCAUGCCCAGAGUAUCCAUCAUGUUCUACUCAAGGCAAAAAAAUAGGGCGCUACAGCAAAAUAGCGCUAGCCUCAAAAUAUGGUAUUAGCGAGUCGUUGUAUACUAAUUUAUUUAGCGGGACAAUUCUCAACACGCAGGGCCGGUCCUGAGAUUUUGGGGGCCCGGGGCGAGACUAAAACUCGGGGCCCUUAAUGUAGACAUAAUAGCGAUAAAAAUUAAUCUUUUGAAUAAACUAGUCAUUUUUAUCAUGUUCCUCCCCAUUUCUUAAUUUCCUAUGAUAAUGACCAUAUGAAAAACAUCUUCCUGCAUCAUGUAGAUGGUAUGGCAUUUUCUGUCCUCUCUCAUAGACCCUUUCUCAAGUAAGAUGUUUCUUGUAUUUUUAUCAAGAUUAUCCUAAUUUUUUCAUAAAUAUCAGUAGCAUAAACUGGUUGUUCAUGAUCACUAGCUGACUGUACAUGUACAUCCAAUGAAUUACCUACAUACUCAGAGGUCAGAGCACCCUACGUUGUUAUCGUUGCUGUUGGUGUCGAUAUUUUCUUCUCGCUGAUCAAGUUCUUAAUUGCCAUUAGUUGGUUGCCCUUCCUCUAUGGAAUGCCAACUCUCUUAGAAAAAAUUAUGAAUAUUUCCACUCUGUGAUUGUACUAAUUCAUCCACAACUUUCUUAUGGAUGACAGGAUAUAUAAGACACAAUGCUGAAAAUAAAUAAAUAAAUUGCAUCAAUUGACAAUUGUUGAACAGUACCGAUGUGUCGGCUAUUCAUCUAAUAGACUAGGAACCUCAAUAUGAAUAGAAGAUAUACCUCGGAUGAUCGAAUCGUUGACGGACGGAGAGCAAGGUAGGGCUCCGACGGCCCCCAUGGAGGCAGGGAAUUGAAAUCGGCGGUUGAUCUGAAUUAGUGAGGAAAUUUUGUUUUAGAAGGAAAGGGCCGCUGAGAAAUUGGGAAUCGCUGCGUGAACUGCGUGCGAGAUGGAAGAAGGGGUCAAUCUGUUCCUUCUUUAUCGACAUGCACGAACUAAUCAAGGAAAGAAUCGGAAAGGAUCAAUCAGUUCCUUUUUUUAACGUGCACGUAGUAACUAGGAACGACCGAAUCGAUCGCUGGCUCCCUUCCUAGCGGCAAAUAUGUUGGACCAUCGUGCGUACGUUCCAUCGUGCUGCCUGAAGCCCAGCCGUCUAGUCCAAAGAAUUUUUUUGAUGACCGGAAAUAUGUUGGACCAUAGCUAACAUGUGUAUACCUGGGGAGGGNNNNNNNNNNNNNNNNNNNNNNNNNNNNNNNNNNNNNNNNNNNNNNNNNNNNNNNNNNNNNNNNNNNNNNNNNNNNNNNNNNNNNNNNNNNNNNNNNNNNNNNNNNNNNNNNNNNNNNNNNNNNNNNNNNNNNNNNNNNNNNNNNNNNNNNNNNNNNNNNNNNNNNNNNNNNNNNNNNNNNNNNNNNNNNNNNNNNNNNNNNNNNNNNNNNNNNNNNNNNNNNNNNNNNNNNNNNNNNNNNNNNNNNNNNNNNNNNNNNNNNNNNNNNNNNNNNNNNNNNNNNNNNNNNNNNNNNNNNNNNNNNNNNNNNNNNNNNNNNNNNNNNNNNNNNNNNNNNNNNNNNNNNNNNNNNNNNNNNNNNNNNNNNNNNNNNNNNNNNNNNNNNNNNNNNNNNNNNNNNNNNNNNNNNNNNNNNNNNNNNNNNNNNNNNNNNNNNNNNNNNNNNNNNNNNNNNNNNNNNNNNNNNNNNCCCCCCUCAGGGCCGGCCCUGUCAACACGCUAUAGCAUUGCUAUUAGCGACGCUAUGACGCGCUAUUUUUUCAGUGGUUCUACUUAAUCUGCAGUUUUCCAAAUUAAGCGAGCAUAACUUCGACAAGAGUUGACAGGCUGAAAAGGCAAGUUCUACAAUGUUCACACGAGUGGCACGAAAAGACAACAAUCCAGUAUAGUACAUCACAUAACAACAGCUUAAUCCAACUCAAAAAGGAAAGUACAGCACUGAUGCCAUAAAUUGUAAAACAUAGAAUGAUUCAUCCUCUGACCCUUAACUGCUAAAGCUGGAAUUUUGCCAUAGUAUGGCACAUAGAAUAGGCUGCGAUAUUUUCGGGUGAAGCUUCUUGGAAUCCUUUGGGACUGCGAGCGUUUACCAGUACUGAUGCUAGCUGAGAUGAUCUUAUUACCAAUUUUGUCCUCAAGGAUAACCAGCUCCCUCUCUAGGUCAACGGCCAUGAUUUUAUAUUCGAAAAGCCAGUAUCCUUCACAGUCAGUGCGGAGAAAAAUGUCUCUGCCAAAUAUAUCAAUCAUACUUACACGAUGCCUCACCGCCCACCCAUCAGGGACUUCCAAACUCCAAAUCCGUAUUGCGCAGCCAUCAAAUUCUUGUUUCGCGUAGCAUAAGACACCCGAAGACUGACCAAUACAUCCAUUAGAACAGAAAGUCAUGUUGGACCUAUUCGGAUAUCCUGGCAGCUGAAUGAUCCUAUGAUCGAGCCACUCCGUACUUCUAUCAGGUGCGUCAAGCGCCAGAAUUUUAUGAGCCAAUAGGUGCUUCACGUACAACACCCCAUUUACAAAGAGCGAAUCACCUUCAAAUCCAUCUCCAUAUUCCCAAAGACAACUAGACCGCCAAAGACAACUAGACCACGUGGAAUCCUCAGAGAAAAAUACCUUAACUUCAGUGGAGGUCCCAAUUAUAUGAGGGUUCAGGACCGCGCUCGACUGAAAUUUGAAGACACAGAAGUGUUGAGACCAUAAUGGAUCAAAACACAACUUGAGAUUAGCCGAAAAGACCGAUGGUCCAGGUUCAGUAUCUGGAAGUGCCAUCCACUCUUGAGUUGCUGGAUUGCACACAAUAGCGUUGGAAAUUUCUUCAAUUCUAUUUUUCUGAUAACAAAGAAGUAGGCCAUUGCAGCAACCCCGAAGCAGUAUUGGGUACUUAUAACAUGGCACAAAACUAAGUGUUGUGUCAAUUUCCUUGUCACUUGAGGGAAGUCUGGCGAGAUGGAUGCCACUGCCAAGAGAGGAGGCAAGUCUGCCACGCUCAAAUUUCUGGUACAAGAGACCAGUGGGAGUUCUUGGGAACUUUUGUCGGUAAUAUGGAUGAGAUGAGAAGGCAAGCCAAGACUUGCAAACACAUUUGAAGCGGCACAAGGACUUCAACGGCAGUCGAGACAGGAUGUCCACCACCAGCUCAUUAGGUAGUACACAUGUGGACAUCCCCAAUCUAUGAUCUGAACUUAUCUGCACCAAAAGAAAAGAAAAAAAUAGAUGAUAUAAAAC
rnacentral:lncRNA from 1 species